GAGAGAGAGAGUGAGGGCUCAGGGGAGAGGUAUAGCCGAAGGGCUACGAGGGGGAGCACAGAUCCGCCUCUGGUGCUCACUAGCACGACUGGCACACGCGGCCUGAGCGGCUUGGAGUCUACCUGGCAUCGUGGAGGGGGUCAAGGCUGCUCUGCGGCGCUCUGGGACAUGCUCCCCUCGCUAGACUCAAGUUGCAGCUAGGGCCCAAGGUGCAUAGCACCAUUUCAAACUGCCAGGGAGGUGGUCACCACCCCACUUGCUGUCGUGGGCCACCCUUUGGCAAGGCCAAGGUGUCAAACAUGCAAGGCAUGUUUGCUACAAUGCACUGGUGAAGUUUGGACCAAGUUGGAGCUGUCUAGGUGGGCUUUUGACUGUUGUUAAGUUUGCAGCAGCAAACUUAGGGCUACUAAUAAGGGCACUCAUAGGAGAGAUAAUGGGAAAAAUACAUGUCUAGCAGCCUUAGGCUUGGAAGGACUACACUUGUGGAAAGUUUCAGCUCAAGCAAGGGAGGGUAGCUAGUACUUGAUGUACAAAGCUACUUUUCAUUCAGAAACCACUUGAGGACGUGCUGCUCAUUUUCUCCAUAUGAGCAUGCCAUCUCUUGGCUUGAAACAAUGCCUUGGGAUGCUAGGAACCCUAUGGCAAGAGGUGGGGGCUUUGGCUUACACAGAAGUGGGGCAAGAGGGGUGAAGACGGUGAUUCCAAAGGUAAAAUGAGGAAUAGUUACAUGGAGCCUCUCUCUAAUAAUUGACCAGUGGCCAAGGUAAUGUUACUGGAGGUAAAAUGUAACUAUGUGAAGUUGUGGUAGAAAGUGGAUCUCAAGGGUUAAAGUGGAAAGGGCCAAAGUAGCCAAUAAAGUGAAUGCACACAAGGUGUUUGAUGAGUGGUAGAGCAAUCAGAUGGACUUCAAUGGAGAUGAAACUUAACAAGAUCAAAUAAUAGAUGAAAAUAAGCUUGGACACCAAAUUUGGGAUUUGUUGGAGAAGCUUUCCAAUGUAGACUUGGAAAACCCUUGAAAUGGGCAAAAAUGGCUUUUUGCUUACAAUUCCAUUCAAAUCAAUUCCCACAAAUCCAAUAUUUGGUGUGGGGGCAUUAUUUGAGCAUUAAGGCAUGCACAAAACAUUUGGGGUCAAUUGGAGAAACUUUAUAAUGUAAAGUUUCCCAAAGUCAGAAAUCAAUAGAGAGGGUUUUGAGGGGCUUGGGAUAGGUUCUUCUAUUCUCCUUGAUGCACCACUUGGUGUCGAUGCAUUAUUGGAGUAUUAGAACAUGUCCACCAAAUUUGAGCACAAUNNNNNNNNNNACUCUGGCAAGAGGUGGGGGCUUUGGCUUACACAAAAGUGGGGCAAGAGGGGUGAAGAUGGUGAUUCCAAAGGUAAAAUGAGGAAUAGUUACAUGGAGCCUCUCUCCAAUAAUUGACCAGUGCCCAUGGUAAUGUUACUGGAGGUAAAAUGUAACUAUGUGAGGUUGUGGUAGAAAGUGGAGCUCAAGGGUUAAAGUGGAAAGUGCCAAAGUAGCCAAUAAAGUGAAUGCACACAAGGUGUUUGAUGAGUGGCAGAGCAAUCAGAUGGACUUCAAUGGAUAUGAAACUUAACAAGAUCAAAUAAUAGAUGAAAAUAAGCUCGGACACCAAAUUUGGGAUUUGGUGGAGAAGCUUUCCAAUGUAGACUUGGAAAACCCUUGAAAUGGGCAGAAAUGGCUUUCUGCUUACAAUUCCAUUCAAAUCAAUUCCCACAAAUCCAAUAUUUGGUGUGGGGCAUUAUUUGAGCAUUAAGUCAUGCACAAAAAGUUUGGGAUCUAUUGGAGAAACAUUAUAAUCUAAAGUUUCCCAAAGUCAGAAAUCAACAAAGAGGGUUUUGAGAGGCUUGGGAUAGGUUCUUCUAUUCUCCUUGACGCACCACUUGGUGUGGAUGCAUUAUUGGAGUAUUAGAACAUGUCCACCAAAUUUGAGCACAAUUGGAGACACUUGACAAUGUAGAGUUGCUCAAAUUUGAAUCUGGACAGAUAGGGUUUUAGAAUAAUUAGGGGAGUCAAAACAACUUGGAUUCAGAUGAAACUUGGCAAGAUCAUCAAAUAUAUCAUAGGUGACAUUCUGGAAUUUUGCUGGAAUUUAUUGAGAACAUUUCUAAUAGAAAUAUUUCAAAAGCUUGAAAUAGGCAGGAAGGGUUUUGAGGGGGUUUGCCUAAUAUUUUGAACAUGACCAUGUGUUGAAACUCAUAUAUAUGGAAUAUAUAUGUCCACUGAGUUUCCCUAAAUUUUAUCAAAUAUUUUGAAAUUAAUAAAAAUAACCUUCCUUCAUAAAUACCAUUUCUGGCCUCACACGAAGGCAUUUAAAUAAAUUAGUAAAAUAACUUUUAAAAUAAUAAUAUGGUGGUUUUGGGAAUACAUUUUGAUCAUAGGUUUUAAAUAAAAUAAUUGGUGCAAAAUAAAUUCCCUAAUUUGAGGACUUGUAGCACAAACCUCACCUCACGGGUUUGAAAGUUUAAUUCAAAGAAAUGCUUUUUGGUUAAAAUAAUAUUUGGUAAAAUAAUUGUUGGUCCUAAACACAUGGCAUGAUCAUUAGACAGGAGUUUUGGGCUAAGGAGGUGAGUCUAGAGUGUAGCAAGAAUUGUUGAGAACGAACACAAACAUACGAGCAAGCAAGCAAACACAGUCACUUCAAGCAUCACGAGCUUUCACAAAAAAAAAUGGUCCUAAUUUUAGAAAUAAUUAAUUAGUCAGGAAAGCUAAACACACGGUGUUACAUGUAAAUAAUUUAAAAAAUGUCCGAUUCAACUUUAUAAAUUAUUAGGGAAUUUUUUGUAACUCAUCCAGCAUUUUUAUUUUAACAUUUGAAAACUUUUCUUGUUUGACUUAUUUUUUAAAUUUUUGAAUUUGACUCGGUUUCGACUAACACGAGAUCAACAAUAGAAAUCACAGUGACGUGGCAUCAUUAGCGUGGGAUCACUUUAGGUUAAUUACAUACAUUACUGUAGCAAAAGCUAAGGAUGUCACAACUCUCCCCUACUAAUAGGAGUUCUCAUCCCGAGAAUUAAGAGGUAGAAGGAAAGAGCUCGGGGUAUGCAUCACGAAGAUGAUCCUCGCGUUCCCAAGUGGCUUCAUCUUCGGAAUGAUUUGACCACUGCACUUUAAGGAACUUGGUGACUUUGCGACGAGUCUGACGUUCAGCCUGGUCGAGAAUGCGGACCGGAUGCUCCUUAUAAGAAAGAUCUUGUUGCAGCUCAAGCAUAUCAUGAUCCAUUGCUCGAAUAGGAUCCUUGAAGCAGCGACAGAGCUGAGACACAUGGAAGACGUCGUGAACCUGAGAAAGGUUCGCCGGCAGUUCCAAUUGAUAAGCCACUUUUCCACGCCUUUCGAGAACAGUGAAAGGACCAAUAUAGCGAGGAGCUAACUUGCCCUUGAUCCCAAAACGAUGUGCACCUCUCAUUGGUGUGACACGAAGAUAAGCCUUUUCGCCAGGUUGAUAGACCAUAUCUUGAUGAUGAAGGUCAGACUGACACUUCUGAUGAGACUGAGCAGCCUUCAGAUUCUCAUGAAUAAUGCCGACUUAAUCUUCGGCAUGUUGGAUAAUAUCCGGACCGAAGAGUGAUCGUUUCCCAGUUUCUGACCAAUUCAGAGGAGUUCGACACCUUCGCCCAAAGAAUACUUUGAAAGGGGCCAUCUUCACACUAGCUUGAUAGCUAUUGUUGUAGGAGAACUCGGCAUACGGGAGAGAUUCCUCCCAUUUCUUACUGAAAUAAAUGACAUAAGCUCGAAGCAUGGCCUCAAUAAUUUGGUUGACUCAUUCAACUUGUCCCUGGGAUUGAGGAUGCAAUGCAGUGCUGAGGGACAGAUGAGUCCCCAUAGGCUUCUGGAAACUUUCCUAGAAUUUUGAAGUGAACAAGCUGCCACGGUCCGAGCUGAUUACCAAUGGAAUACCGUGAAGUGAAACAAUCCUUGACAUAUAAAGAUCUCCAAGUUGACUAGCAUUAAUUGUUUCUUUGACGGCCAGAAAAUGUGUAACUUUGGAUAGACGGUCAAUGACGACAAGAAUAGCAUCCUUACCUUUCUGAGAUUUGGGGAAACCAGUGACAAAGUCCAUUUCAACAUGGUCCCAUUUCCACUCAGGAAUAGAGAUAGGUUGUAGAGUUCCAGCAGGAUUUUGAUGUUCUGCUUUGAUCCACUGGCAAAUAUCACAUUCUGCCACAUAUCAUGCAAUGUCUUGUUUCAUAUUGGGCCACCAGAAUCUUUGACGAAUGUCUUGGUACAUCUUGGUACUACCCGGGUGAAUAGACAAUGGUGUGGCGUGAUCUUCUUUCAUCACCCUUCCGGUCAUUCUGAGAUUUUCCUUCUUAUUUGGGAUGAAUAGGCGACCCUUGAAGUACAAGGCACCAUCUUCAGCAAGAGUGAAAAAGGAGGGUUUACCAUUCGCAAGAUAGCUUUUAAUCCUGUCGACAUCACUGUCAAAGCCUUGCAGAUUCUUGAUGGUGCCCACAAGAUCUGGUUCAACAACCAGGUUACUGAGGGAACCCUGAUUAACAACACGAAGGUUCAUCUUUCGAUACUCUUCACGAGGGGGAACAAGGUAACCCUGAGGAACAAUAUGGAGGUUCAGCUUACGGAAUUCCUCUUGCAGACGAUCGUGAACCUUAUGAACCUGGAGGUGGUUGCGGUAUGACUUCCGACUCAAGACAUCGGCCAUUAUGUUAGCCUUGCCGGGGGUAUAUGAUAUACUACAGUCACAAUCUGAAAUACACUCCAUCCAUCUUUGUUGACGUAGAGUCAGCUCCGGCUGAGUGAACAGAUACUUCAGACUUUGAUGAUCGGUGUAGAUUUCACAGCGAUUACCGACAAGGUAUUGUCGCCAUUAUUUCAGUGCAUGAAUAUCUGCGUCAAGUUCGAGAUCAUGAACUGGGUAGUUCUCUUCAUGAGCACGCAGCUACCGUGAGGCAUAAGCAAUCACCUUGCGAUCCUGCAUCAGGAUACAGCCUAAUCCUUGACGAGAAGCGUCACAAUAUAUGACAAAAUCCCUUUUCGUAUCCGGAGGAGCAAGUACUGGAGCGGAUGUCAGUUUGUUCUUGAGUGCCUGGAAACUUUCCUGACAUUUAUCAAUCCACUCAUACUUAACACCUUUGUGAAGCAGAUUGGUUAAGGGCUUCGCAAUCUUGGGGAAGUUCUCGACGAAUCGACGACAAUAGCUGGCGAGUCCGAGAAAACUUCUGACUUGCUUGACAUUCUUCGAGGGAGUCCAGUCAAGAAUACCUUGAAUUCAUUCGGGGUUGACUGCAAUACCAUCCUUGGAAAUCACAUGACCAAGGUAUGUCACUUCGUCGAGCCAGAAUUCACAUUUGGAAUACUUCGCAUAGAGUUUAUGCUCCCGAAGCUUAUCCAGUACAAGACGAAGAUGUUCGGCAUGUUCUUCUUUAUUCUUCGAAAAUACCAGAAUAUCAUCCAGAUAUACCACGACGAAUCUGUCAGGUAGUCCAUGAAUAUAUAGUUCAUCAAUCGAGAGAAGGUUGUCGGUGCAUUGGUUAAGCCGAAAGACAUGACGGUGUACUCAUAUGAACCAUAACGAGUAAAAAAGGCGGUCUUUGGAAUAUCCUCUUUGCGAACACGGAUCUGGUGGUAUCCCACCCUCAAGUCGAGUUUAGAGAAGACUGUGGAACCAGCAAGUUGAUCAUACAGAUCAUUUAACCGAGUGAGAUGAUAUUUGUUUUGAAUAGUGGCAUGGUUGAUAGGACGAUAGUCUUGAACCAAUCGAUUUGUCCCAUCCUUCUUCUUAACAAAGAUAGAAUGUGCUCCCCAAGCAGAGGAACUCGGACGAAGGAAACCCAGACGAAGCGAGUUGUCAAUUUUUUGUUAAGUUCAAGAAGUUCAUGUGGUGGCAUUUUAUAAGGACGCUUGGCGAUAGGAGUGGUACCGGGUACCAAGUCAAUGACAAACUCGACAGCUCGAGCAGGGGGAAUCCCCAGAAGUUCCUCUGGAAAGACAUCUUGGAAUUCCCGGACCACUGGAAUGUUUUUGAUCCCUUCAAGAGGUGACGCAUUUAAUGCAUUCAAGGCAUAUAGUCGUGCCUCAGCAUCUCAGACGAGAUGAGCAUGGUAGCUUAUUAAUUCAUCUGAAGGGUGUAGGAGGUGGACGGUCUUGGUGGCACAAACGAUUGAAGCCAUAUGAGCUUUCAACCUGUUCAUUCCCGGUAUGAGGUCAAUGUUGGAAGAACUCAAUAACAUGGGAGCAGCAAGGAAUUUCAAUCCUUCAAUUUCGACGGGGACAUUGGGGCAGACCAUGGAGGGUCGGCAUUGGCCCGCGGGGGUGUUUACCACUAUUGGGACGUUCAUCUCUUCGUACUUAAUGCCAUGCAUGAAUGCAAAAUUUUCUGACAUGAAGGAAUGUGAUGCUCCUGUAUCAAACAAUACAAAAUGAGGUACUGAAUUAACAAGAAGUGUACCCAUCAUAGUAGCGGGCUGGUCUUGAGCUUGACCCAUAUCAAUGUUGUUGGCCUAACCACGAACAUAAGCAGGCUUGUCAUUGUUGUUGCGGUUCUGGUUGUUGCCACUGCCAGUUGAGGGAAGUGCCAGCUGAUUCGGAUUCUGCCUGCAGUCUCUAGCACGGUGACCUGCACAACCACACUUGAAGCACAACCCGUCCUCGGGACGGGAAGGAGGAACUCGAGGCGGCGGAGCUGGAAGCCUUGGCUGCCUAGGUGGUGGAGGAGGCAAGCGAGGUGCGGCAUAGGACGGCCUCAGAGCAAGAGCAGGUGCAUCGUACAUGUUGUUGGGAAUCCAGAUCUUCCUCUUCUGUGCGGAUGAGCCCAAAAAUGAGCCCAUGUCACGGUUGCGCUUGUUGCUAUUCUUGUAUUCCUGCAGAUCAGUCUCAACCUGAAUAGCCUUGUUCACUAGGGUGGCGAAAUCAGCAUAGUCGUGAACGAGGAGUGUCAGCUUGAUAUCAGGGUGGAGGCCCUCACGGAACUUCUCAUGUCUGCGUCCAUCAGUUGUUAUGUCUUCUUCAGCAUAGCGAGAUAAGUCCAGAAAUUCCCGCUGAUAAUCAUCCAUGGUCUUGUUGCCCUAGACAAGGUUGCGGAAUUCACGCUUCUUCCGGUCCAUGAUUCCCUGAUGAAUGUAGCGAGCACGGAAAGCAGCCUUGAACUCCGUCAAAGUGAUGACAGCUCUGAUGGGCUCAGAGCGCCUGUGACUGUACCACCAUAGAGCAGUGGGAUCCUUUAAGAAGUAGGCGGCAAAGUUGCCAUAGCUCGCUAGGGGCACGCUGGCAGACUCCAGCUCAUAAGCAAUGUCACGGAGCCAGUCACCGGCAUCAAGAGGCUGAGUUGAGCAGCGGUAGAUCGCAGGGUUGAGGCGGCAGAAGUCUUGCAGUGUCACGCCUUGCUGCUGGUUCAUGCUCGGCCUUUGGAACUGAUCCAUGAGCCCUUGCAUAAACUCGCAGUUCGGUUCAAACUGUUGGAUCAUCCCCGCCAUAUAUUCAGGAGGAGGGGUGGUGCAUCGUUGGCGGGGCCACGCGGGCAGCCAGCUGGUCUAACCAUCCUGCUAAAUAUUUAACCGGGGUAGUUUAGUUUAAAGUAAUCGCAAAGGCAUCGUACGCAUUCAUGAAGCAAUCAAGCAUGACGAAAGGGAAAUGCGAUAGAUACUUCAUAGUAGUUGAGUUCCACAUACAGACCCAUACAUAAGUUCGAUUACAGACUGUCGAUUAAAAAUUUGAAAUUUGGCAAUAACCUGGACGCAUAAGACGAUAACCUGGACUCACUAGGCGCCACGCAUGCACACGGUGGAAGAGUACACAAAGAGACAUAGCGAUAAGGCUACAUCAACGUCGAAGAAGACGAACAAAUCCUGGUAGCUGGUGGUGAUAGAAGGUAGGAACACGACCCUGCGUUCCGUGGUGACUCUGGUGAGGGUACCGCAUCCAGCCGGGGAGUAGAGGUCCAGGUGCAGGGGUACUACCCCCAACAUCGGUCCACUCAAGACAUGAUUGUAGCUCUGUCUUACUCGGCUCGCGGAUGUGCGCAGGGGGAACCCUCAGGUGGUGUGAUGGCUGCAGCUCUGUCAACGCGUCGUAAAGACGAGCACGCGUAGCGUACAGCUCCACAGUCAGAGCUCGAAAAACACAAUCCAGUGCCUCACGUAGGGGGCGCAGACAUCGACGUAGGACCGGUCGUUGCGCUCCCGAACGCUAGCAGUGUAGGCAAUGAGAUCAGACCCAGUCUCAUCCCCAGCAGGAACAUACGGGAUGUAUCUGAAAGCACUCUCCUCCAGGUGAGGGUAUGCUCCACGGAGACGGGUGAUAGCGAUAUAGGCCGCAUCAUGGACGGCCAUCUCGAUCGACAAUCCAAUACCGUAGAAGACGUGGCGCUCGCGGGUGGAGUUUCCCAUCUGAUCGAAGAUGCGAACCUCAGCCUGGUACUGAUACUGGUUGAACUCGGGGAAGUCCUCGUACACAGUGUACUCGGGGUACGAGCGAUAUCCCAACCUGGUCAAAAGGUCGACCAAAAUGGUCGGGAACCCAGUAGCCUUAGUAGCCAGUGUCACGCGCAUGUGCUGUCUUGCGGGACACAUCUGAAAAGAAUGAUUCACGGGUGUCAAAUGACAGUGUGUGCAAUAUAUAUUCAGAAGAACAAGAGUAGAUAGUCCAGCCCUCUCGGUCGAUGUGAUUACGAGAACCUAAUGUUAGAAUUAGGAAACUCGUUAACCCGAAAGAGAAGAGAGAUUAGAGCACAUAGUAUAGGAAAGGAGUAAAAGAUACUAAUACGACCCAAUUGAGAUGUGGGCCCGUAAGCCACGACAUCAGUGUUAGUAAAGUUUUUCAAACACUAGACUCAACUUCGGCCAAAGAGUUGGAAAGGGGGCUACCUACACGCAGUCGGCUCUCAUACCAACUUGUGACACCCUCGAUUUAAUCGUCCGCUAAUCAUACACGCAAAUGCGUACGAUCAAACUCUAGGACUCACGGGAAGAUAUCACAACACAACUCUAGACACAAAUAAAACAUACAAGCUUCAUAUUACAAGCCAGGGGCCUCGAGGGCUAGAAUACGGAAGCUCGAUAAACACACGAGUCAGCGGAAGCAACAAUACUUGAGUACAGACAUUAAACAUGGGGUGCCUUAGAGAAGGCUAUCACAAAACAUACAACGAUCGAACGAGGAGAGGCCUCCUGCCUUGGAACCUCCUAACUACUCCUGGUCUUCAGCGGCCUCCACGUAGUAGUAGGCACUGUCGGGGUAGCAGUCGUCGUCGCCGGGAUACUCCAUCAUCUGGUCGCAGCAACGGAUCAAGGGGGCAAAGGGGGAGCAAAGCAACGGUGAGUACUCAUCCAAAGUACUCGCAAGACUUAUAUCAGAACUAUGCCAAGUAUGCAUCAGUAUCAAGGAAGGGGUUUAUAUGUGGACUGACUAUAGCAAAGCAAGAAUAGGGAGAAUGCCUAGUCCUAUCAAAGACUAACAUCUUCAAGGGGGUCUUGCAGCAAUAGACGAGAGUAGAACAGGGUAACACAAAUAAUAGUCAUAUUGUUACAGCAAUAUUAAUAUGAGGUCACACCCAGAUAUCUAUCCUCGACUCCCUGCGAGGAAGCAAUCCCAGGACAACAAUUCCAGUUAAGUAAAAAUUGUAGUUGUAUAAGAUCAGGGCACAACUCCAAGUCGUCCUGUAACCGUGGACACGACUAUUCGAAUAGAUAAGUUCUUCCCUAUAGGGGUGCACAACAUAUUCCCUGUCACGCUCGAUAACACUCUGGUCGUACACACUUUUAUGGACCAUGCUCGGCCUCGGAAUAUCGACAUGUUGCAGCCCCACCUAAGCUCAACAGAGAGGCCAGCCCGCCGGUCUAACUCCAAAGCACAAAGGGGUCGUGGGCCCACUUGCCCUCUGCGCUCCUACAUAAUGCGUGGGCGGACGAUGUCAGUCCUAGCACCCCUUAAUUACAAGCGUGAUGCAUCUCGGGACCACUCGGGCGCGCGCCGCUCCAUUGCUGACGUCUGAAAAGCUUCGGCUGAUACCACGACUUCGAGUACCCAUAAUUCUUCCCACACAGACGGUUAGUGCGUAAUAAGGCCUUCCGACCAACCCAGAUCAAAUACCCAAAUCCAUUAUCAUUUUAAUUAAGCCAUCGACACAUCCACGUGGGAAACCCACCCGCCUAACAUAUAUUCAUCAAAGAUCCCGGUAACAUGGUCAAGUAACUAUGUGGUUGUAACAUUAGGGGGAAUCCGAGGUAUCACCCUAGUUGGAUUCCGAACGAUGUAUCCGUCAAGGAGGACUUAGAGGAAUCACCCUCAAGGGUCCCACACUUGAGGGGUUGCACGACAGAGACAUCGUCGGGAAUGGUGAAAGAGGAAUCACCCUCGAUAACCACGACCGACUAGCUACACUACAGAGGUAUCAUCAGGAGUACUUUGCGAGGUGUCACCCUUGGUACUCGAUAGUAGCUCUGUAGCGCCGCACAACUAAGGGGGGUGUGAGUGUUGUAUCGGAUCUGGUUCGUCGAUCAGGGAUCGAGACUUAAUAUUAUAGCGGGGCAACUAGACUAAGGGGUCAGAGGGGAUGAUUGCUCCACCUAUACUAGACAGUUUUAAAGAUACAGUACUGAAAGUAGCAGUUCAUCAAAAACAGGCUAUGCAUCAGAUAUAGGAGCUAACUACAACAGUAGCAAAAUUCUAAUGCAAGCAGGAGGAAGAAAGACAUAGGCGAUAUAGGAAUGAUCAAGGGGGGUUUGCUUACCUUGUUGCUCUGCGGCAAAGGGCUGGUCAUCAGGGGCGUAGAUGUACCCGACAGCAGCGUGAGUCUCGGGGUCUACCGGUAAGAAGAUGGGGAGAAACAAUAAAUAAUAACAACAGGUGCAACACUAAGCAUGACAUGGCAAUAUGAAGGCUAGGCAUGACCUAACGCAGUAACAUCCAUCAUAGACGGAUCGGGAAAAUAUCAAAUGAUAUUUCCCGGGUGUGUGGUUACUACCGGUCAAAUGAAAAACGAUGGAAAAGUUCCACGUUUGCUAUGCUAGGGACGCGUGACAGACGAAUGGACCGCGUAUCCGGGUUCGUCUCGUUCUGCUGAUCAACUUUCAUGUUGAAAAUAUUUUCAUUUUAGCUACGGUUUAUUUUUUUAUUAAUUUUCAAAGAUUAAAUCAACAUUUAGGUAUUAACAUAUUUAAUUAAAUUCAUUUGUUAUUUAUGACAUCAACAUGAUGCCAUGCUGACAUCAGCAGUUGACUGGUCAACUGUAACCAGUGGAUCCCAUGUGUCAUAGACACAAUUUUUAAUUAGGAUUAAUUAUUAAUUAAUCAGAUUAAUUUAGUGGGGGACCCAUGUGUCAUACUCUAAUAGGAUAAUCCAAUUACCUAAUUAACAGAUAACUAGUUUAUCUAUUUACUCUUAAUCAUAUAUUAACUAAUAAAUUCAUUAAUUAAUUGAUUCAUUAACUAAUUAUUUAAUUAAUUAAACUAUUUAUUAAAUAUUAUUUUUAUAUUAUUAUUAUUACUAUUUUCAACAGAGGGUGCGGAGCCUCCCUGUCAGUGGGAGUGGAGGGGGGUUGGCCCCAUCGGUAAGUGUCAUUGGCCACACCACAACUUACACACACACAUAUAUAUAUUCCUGCACCCAUAAUACACACAUGCACCUAUACACAUUUAUACACACAUUUCACAUAUACGCAACAUACAUACAUACAUACAUACAUAUACAUAUAUUUGCAUACAUACACAUAGCACUUUCUACAUACACACAUACAUAUAUCCAUUUAUUUUAUUUACUUUUCCUAUCAUCUCUUUUCUUUUUCUCUGUUCUAUCUCUCUGAUCUACCUCUAUUCUAACUCUCUCUCUCAACUGACACGGGAGGGAAAGACUCCAUCUCCUCCUCUUACACGAGAGAUCAACGGCGCCGGGACGAGGCGAUGAACGCCGGAACGAAACCGGAGUGGGGAAAGAAAGGAGUGGGCACGUUCUCACCCACGGUGUAGGGGGGCGGGGUCGGUGAGGCUUGAUGAAGCCGGCGGGGAAGCAGAGGAGGCCGAUGGAGGAGGCCGACGACGGGGAGGCGGCGCGGUUCCGGUGAGGUAGGCGGAGGAGCGGGUCGGUGCGGGGGCGCCGGGGCGGCGCGUGAGGGGAGAUCGUAGGAGGAGCUGUCGGCCAUCGGGGUGGGGGUGAAGGACCAUGGGGAGGUGUGACGCGGUGAGGGAGGAUCCGGUGGAGGGGCGAUUGGCAGUNNNNNNNNNNNNNNNNNNNNNNNNNNNNNNNNNNNNNNNNNNNNNNNNNNNNNNNNNNNNNNNNNNNNNNNNNNNNNNNNNNNNNNNNNNNNNNNNNNNNGGAGGGUCUGGUGAGUCUCCGAGUGGAUAUGUAGGGCACACUCGAAGGUCAAAAAAUAGUCGAUACGGGAUCGCCGCUAGGUUGUCGAGUGUGACUAUGAGGUCGCACCCGGGGCGAUGUGUUAGUCAUGUAGUUGUCAGUUGUUUUGACAUCCACAUGAGCCUCAAUGAGAGUCUGCUACUCAUGUAGUUGUUAGUUGUUUUGACAUCCACAUGAGCCUCAAUGAGAGUCUGCUACUCAUGUAGUUGUCAGUUGUUUUGACAUCCACAUGAGCCUCAAUGAGGGUCUAUUACUCAUGUACUUAGGCGAUUCUGGACCGCAGCUAAGCCCCCGAGUGUGACGUUAAGUGCACACUCGGAGAAAGUUAAUACUUAGGCAAUUUUUGAUCGCAACUAAGUCUUCGAGUACGACGUUUAGUGCACACUCGGAGGAAGUUAUUACUUAGGCGAUUCUUGAUCGCAGCUAAGUCUCCGAGUGCGACGUUUAGUGCGCACACGGAGAAAGUUAAUACUUAGGCGAUUCUGGAUCGCAGCUAAGUUCCCGAGUGCGACGUUUAGUGCACACUCGGAGAAAGUUAGUACUUAGGCGAUUUUUGAUCGCAGCUAAGUCCCGAGUGCGACGUUUAGUGCACACUCGGAGAAAGUUAUUACUUAAGCGAUUCUUGAUCGCAGCUAAGUCCCCGAGUGCGACGUUUAGUGCGCACACGGAGAAAGUUAGUACUUAGGCGAUUCUGGAUCGCAGCUAAGUUCCCGAGUGCGACGUUUAGUGCACACUCAGAGAAAGUUAGUACUUAGGCGAUUCUUGAUCGCAGCUAAGUCCUCGAGUGCGACGUUUAGUGCACACUCGGAGAAAGUUAUUACUUAGGCGAUUCUUGAUCGCAGCUAAGUCCCCGAGUGCGACGUUUAGUGCACACACGGAGAAAGUUAGAACUUAGGCGAUUCUGGAUCGCAGCUAAGUUUUUUUUUGAGACCGGAGUCUGUGAUCGCGGAAGAAUUCUGAAUCUGCCAAAGCUCAAUCUGCUUUAUAUUAUUUCACCAAUAAUUGUUCUUUACAUUGCUUCAAUCGACGGUCACGUGUACAAGCGCUUCAGGAGAUCUCCGUUCCAUGCUCGCGGCUCGUCUGUCUCCCUGUCGNNNNNNNNNNNNNNNNNNNNNNNNNNNNNNNNNNNNNNNNNNNNNNNNNNNNNNNNNNNNNNNNNNNNNNNNNNNNNNNNNNNNNNNNNNNNNNNNNNNNCACUACUCCACCCCUGUGCACCGAACCGUUGUGGAGGGCAGCGCACUCUAUAUAAGCCACCCUCCCCCACUGGUGCAGGGGUUAGCAACUUAUUGUAUUCCAUAUUCCACUCGACAACAAGCUCCCAGAGCACUGAGACGUAGNNNNNNNNNNUAGCAACUCAUUAUUAUUCCAUAUUCCACUCGACAACAAGCUCCCAGAGCACUGAGACGUAGNNNNNNNNNNUAUCUACUGUCAGACUUAUACCCACGACAGUUGACGCCCACCGUGGGGCAGGCGUCUAAGCGACUUUCCGGCGAGUUUGCGACUACAUCUUUUCGUCAUGUCGUCCGGUGGAGAUUCGAGCAUGGGUCACGAGAUGUUCUUCGGCGCUCUCUCCUUCAUCGUCAAUGAUUCGGCAUGGCUUCGGGACGCCCCUCUCGACGUCGAGGCGCUUCCCCGCCGCGGGGCUACGCAUUUCCGUGCCGGCGCCCGCGGCAUUUUUCUUCUCCAGCAGUCGGCUCCGGUGUCGACCUACACCGCCGUCACACGCCGNNNNNNNNNNNNNNNNNNNNNNNNNNNNNNNNNNNNNNNNNNNNNNNNNNNNNNNNNNNNNNNNNNNNNNNNNNNNNNNNNNNNNNNNNNNNNNNNNNNNGAAGUACACCCCUGCAGGGUUAUGAUCUAUUCGAAUAGCCGCGUCCGCGGAUGUGGACUACUUGGAGACAUAUGUUGUUCAUAGAUAACUUCAAUGGCUACUCAUAAAAUUGUCAAGAUAAGCGUAAGUGUCGUGGACGGCAUUUCCGUAUGGAGACGGAAUGAUUCCACGAUGGUGUAUUGUUGUGGUGUUAGUGGACUCGCGUGCGAGAAAUCAAGUUGUAAAAAUUAUUUAAAAAUGCAAGUUGUCUAGCCACGAGUCAAAUGCUGGCUUUCCGCAUGAAACCCCACAAUACCUUAUUGAUAGCUUGCAUGAGUAGUUAGUUAUCCUAAAGUCUUGCUGAGUACCUUCGUACUCAUGUUUGCUUAAUAAAUGUUGCAGAGGUUGCUAAUGACCCUAAUGGAGGGUUCUUUGUAGACAUCGACGACGACAAGUAGCUGGUGUCCCAGCUACGAUCCGACGCUACGUUGGGUCUGUAGUAUAGUCAGGCCAUGUGUCUUCUAGUUGCCCUGUCUGUACUCAGACAGUUUAAACUCUUCCGCUGGCUUGGAACUGAAUGACUGCUAUUAUGGGUCGUGAGACCCUUAAUGUGUAGUAUUAUGUGUGUGGCUCUUCCGAGCCUCUUAAAUAAAGUUUGUAUGUUUAUGGUUAUGUUGUGAUGCCAUCGAUGUAUCUAUACAUAUCGUUAUGCCAUGCGUACGUGUGUCAUACUUAAUAUGUAUGGGGUUCGAUUACCUGGUCAUGAACUUUAGUAGCACUCCUUACAAGGAAAUGCCCCUUUGUGAUCCAACGUGCCUUGGUAGUACGUUACUUCUCCGGACACAUUGGUUGACCGGCAUGUGUCCAUCUUAGCUGCUGUGUCUGUCCCCUUUGGGGAAAUGUCACGCGAUGUAACAGAGUCCUUGUAGCUUGCUACGACUCGUCUACACUCGCUGGUGACCGACACCUGCUUUGUUGGGUCAUGUAUGCCUGUCCUUGUGCGGUACUGCCACUUUGGUUUGUGACUAGACUUGUCGAUCCGAGUUCUUUGACAUUGGAAUGCUAGUGACACUAUUGCAUACGUGAGUCAAAAGCCGCAAACGGUCCCGGCUAAGGUAAGGCUGCAGCCGUGGAGUUAACCGUGCGUGAGACCGCAAAGAGAUGCGAUGUGUUACAGGCUGGAUUCCUAUGACNNNNNNNNNNNNNNNNNNNNNNNNNNNNNNNNNNNNNNNNNNNNNNNNNNNNNNNNNNNNNNNNNNNNNNNNNNNNNNNNNNNNNNNNNNNNNNNNNNNNUUAUUAUUAUUAUUAUUAUUUUCAACACAGGGUGUGGGGCCUCCGUGUCAGUGGGAGUGGGGGAGGGUUGGCCCCACUAGUAAGUGGCAUUGGCCACACCAUAACAUACACACACAUAUAUAUUCCUGCACCCAUAAUACACACAUGCACCUAUACACAUUUAUACACACAUUUCAAAUAUACGCAAUAUACAUACAUACAUAUACAUAUAUUUGCAUACAUACACAUACCACUUUCUACAUACACACAUGCAUAUAUCCAUUUAUUGUAUUUACUUUUCCUAUCAUCUCUUUUCUUUUUCUCUGUUCUAUCUCUUUGAUCUACCUCUAUUCUAACUCUCUCUCUCAACUGACAGAGGAGGGAAAGAAUCCACCUUCUCCUCUUACAGGAGAGAUCAACGGGGCUAGGAUGAGGCGGUGAACGCCGGAACAGAACCGGAGGGGGGGAAGAAAGGAGUGGGCGCGUUCUCACCCACGUUGUAGGGAAGCGGGGGUGGCGAGGCUUGAUGGAGCCGGCGGGGAAGCGGAGGAGGCCGGUGGAGGAGGCCGGCUACGGAGAGGCGGCGCAGUUCCGGCGAGGCAGGCGGAGGAGCGGGUCAGUGCAGGGGCGUCGGGGCGGCGCGGUGGGGGGAGAUCGCAGGAGGAGCCGCCGGCCGUCGGGGUGGGGGAGUGGAGGACCAUGAGGAGGCGCAACGCGGUGAGGGAGGAUCUGGUGGAGGGGCGAUUGGCAGUGAUGGCUCGGGCCGGUUGGAGUAGAGGUGGAUCCGGCGAGGGGCGACGAGGGGCCGGUCCCGGUGGCUGGGAGGGCGAGGGAAGUACGAGGGACGAGUUGGGCUCAGUGAGGAGGGAGUGACGGGACCAGGGGGACGGGGUGGGGGAUCGGGCGAGAGAGAGGGAGACGAGGGGGUUUUCCCCUCGUCGUUUCUGGCGGCACGGCAGGGUGGAAAAUGGGAGGGCUCGGUUAGGGUUAGGUUUCCCUAGGGGUCUUAUACCCCCAGGUGGAUAGGCCGGUGGGGUUGUGCCAUUUGGCCCAGUUGGGCUGUGGCCUUUUGGGUUUUUUAUUAGUUAUUUCUUUUUUUAAUAGUUUCUGUUUUAAUUAUAUAAGGGUUCUAAUGUGGGGACCCCGACUUACGAGUCGAGAUCUCCAAAUGAUCGUGCUAAGUGAUCUCAGAGAUCAAUGCUCAUAGAACACAUAGAAUAUGAAUAAUAAAAGUCUUAGAUCCGUACAUACCGUUUGAUACAAUAAAUGACCAUUGCGGUCAAGUAUUACAUACAUAGGGCCUUGAAGGCCAACACACCAAACUGGAGCAAUAGCGGAAUUAUUGGUUGAAAGCAUGAACUCAUGCCAUCAGCCUUAACCUACAAGCAUUCUGAGUAGGAAGCAUCCUAGCUCGCAAGAACGUCACCGAGUUACACUUCACCAAAUCAUGUUCUUUCAAACCUGGUCAAUGAAAUAACUAGUGGCAAGCCAAUGAGUACUUUUUAUUGUACUUGCAAAUAGCCCAUGAUAUGAAUAAUGAAAGUGAAGAAUAACAAUAACAUGCAUCUUGGGUGGAAUUCAUCUUGGUGGAAUGAUCNNNNNNNNNNAGUUACAGAUAUCAACAUAUCUGUCGAGUGUUGAACCAUCCGUGUUCACCAUAUAUGCCAAGUCACCAAACUUGGUCAUAUCAUAUGCCAAGUCACCAAACUUGGUAUCAUUACUUCCAUAAUAACUCCUUUUUAUCACCACUCACACACACUUGGUUUAUGCGGAAACGGCUGGACAUAGUUUAAGCAGGAUUACCCAACUGUCCUUGACCGUGGACACGGCUAUUCGAAUAGUUUUACACUCUGCAGAGGUAGUACGCUGGACCCAUGAGAUCCGGGAAACUUCCGUGUCAUCCACGACUCGCGGUAUAUAACAUACCCGAGGUAAGUGCCUGAUCAAUGCCUUUCCCCUGACGAUACUAGACAAAGAGGUCCACUCGAUGGGUACCCAGCCCACAUGUUGUACGUCUUACGAGCACCGACUCUCGACAUUAGCAACCAUGCGGGGACCAACGGUGUGCCUGGAACUCAUAAAAAUGGCAUAGUCGUCCUAUCUGGCACGACCACAUCACGAGAGUGAACACAUAUCACUCCCGCCACUAGUAAUGUGGCUCUUUGCUAGCACUGACCAGAGUAAUCAACACAGCCCCGUCCCAUAAAGGGUUAGCGUGGUUGUACAUGUAAGGUUGGGACGGUCGACACAUCAUAAAUCUAUUCCCAUUUCCGAAACCAUACUCACACAAAUACCCGGUGCACCACUUCACCAAAAGUGGCCACCAAUAUCAUCAUCACCCUCGGGCAUUAGUGGCACCCGACGGGGUUUUCAUAAANNNNNNNNNNAUCAUGCUCAUGCUAAUACUAUUCUAAUAAUACUUGUCAACAAGCUACUAGCAUGAUCCUGAAAGGGGUAGGAUCAAGCUCAAUGCAUGUGCUCCGGAGGAGCCAUUGGUAACAUCGCAUCAAAUGAUUUACCGACACUUAUGAUCAUAUGCAACGGAAAUACUUGCUUUUUUUAACAUGCAAUAUAACAUAUGCUGAGUCAUGGUCAAAGGGCUAAUUGCUUUUGCUCUCAUAAGUUCUCGGGAUCUUCGAGAUCUUCUGAUCCAACUCCGAGAAUUUCGUCUACUCAUCAUCUACCGUCGGAAACAAUCAUAGUCACCCACUCGGCAAGUAGAACAAAAGUUGCUACACAAAUACAAGUUAUAUUUUUGUUUGACCUCUCUGGUCAUAAGAAAAAUACCUGAAGCUUGCCAUAGGAUGUUUGGGUCAUCAGGGUUCUCUGAAUGGACGAAAGGAGCAGUAGGGGAUUCUUUAUGAAGCCCACAGAACAUACUAUGAUAAAAAUGAGUGGAGGCACUCAUUUAACAGAGAAGAAUUCUAGAAAUAUUUAGGAAGUUGUUUCACUGGAUUUGGAGUUGAAAUUAAUAUUCUAGGAAUUUUCUAACAUGGAAUAAAUAGCAAUAGGAAGCUAUUUAUUUAAUACAAAAGAAUAAAUCCUGAUAAAAAUGUUAACCAAGACUCUAAAAAUAGGUCAUGAUAUAAGAAGGCUCUGGAAAUUGGAAUCACUCCAUUUGGAGUUGAUUUGAAACCUAUAGGAUUUUCAUAAGAUGGGAUUUAAAUUAUCCAGAUUAGGAUUUAAAUAAAAACACCACAGAAAGGUUGCUUGGAAAAAUGUACAAAGCACAUAUUUGGAUAGCCCUUGAUUUUAGGAACCUGCAGGAAUUUGAAUCAAGCAAAUUGGAGUUAAAAUGAAUUUGCUACUAAUUUAUGAAGUUUUCUGAUAAAUAUAAAAAGAUAGGAGGGCCUCCGGAGUUGGGCUAUCCUGCGCACUCGGCGCUGCAUAGAGAUGGGCCUGCCUAGAGGCUUGGUGUUGCGAGCGGAUUGGCCAUGCCGAAGGCGUAUUCCGCUAGAUACGCUUCCCUCGCGCGGAAACAAUUUCAGGACACGCCAUCUCCACUUACUAGCCGAACCAGCUCGCAUGUCACUAAUACGCCUCCGUCGUAUCUACUUUUCCAAACUCUUUUGCCCUUCUUUUGGACUCUAAUUUGCAUGAUUUGAAUUGCCAUGGUGUUGUUUUUGCGCAGAAAUAAAAGUUCUCAGAAUGACCUAGAAAUUUACGAGGAUUUUUUGUGGAAUAUAUAAAAAAUACUGGCGCAAGAAUCAACCGGAGAAGUGGAGCAUGGAGCCCACAAGCCCACAAGGCGCCCCCCUGGCCGCGCCUAGCAGGCUUGUGGGGCCCACGGAGCUCCACCACCUCCAAUUCCAGCUCUAUUUAGUCCCUUCCGUCCGGAAAAAAUUCAAGGAGAAGAGUUCAUCGCGUUUUACGAUACGGAGGCACCGCCACCACCUGUUCUUCCUCUGGAGGGCAGAUCUGGAGUCCGUUCUAGGCUCCGGAGAGGGGAGAUCGUCACCAUCGUCAUCACCAACAUUCCUUCAUCGCCAAUUCCAUGAUUCUCUUCACUGUUCGUGAGUAAUCUCAUCGUAGGCUUGCCGGACGGUGAUGGGUUGGAUGAGAUNNNNNNNNNNNNNNNNNNNNNNNNNNNNNNNNNNNNNNNNNNNNNNNNNNNNNNNNNNNNNNNNNNNNNNNNNNNNNNNNNNNNNNNNNNNNNNNNNNNNGCCAAAGUAGCCAAUAAAGUGAAUGCACACAAGGUGUUUGAUGAGUGGUAGAGCAAUCAGAUGGACUUCAAUGGAGAUGAAACUUAACAAGAUCAAAUAAUAGAUGAAAAUAAGCUUGGACACCAAAUUUGGGAUUUGUUGGAGAAGCUUUCCAAUGUAGACUUGGAAAACCCUUGAAAUGGGCAAAAAUGGCUUUUUGCUUACAAUUCCAUUCAAAUCAAUUCCCACAAAUCCAAUAUUUGGUGUGGGGGCAUUAUUUGAGCAUUAAGGCAUGCACAAAACAUUUGGGGUCAAUUGGAGAAACUUUAUAAUGUAAAGUUUCCCAAAGUCAGAAAUCAAUAGAGAGGGUUUUGAGGGGCUUGGGAUAGGUUCUUCUAUUCUCCUUGAUGCACCACUUGGUGUCGAUGCAUUAUUGGAGUAUUAGAACAUGUCCACCAAAUUUGAGCACAAUUGGAGACACUUGACAAUGUAGAGUUGCUCAAAUUUGAAUCUGGACAGAUAGGGUUUUAGAAUAAUUAGGGGAGUCAAAACAACUUGGAUUCAGAUGAAACUUGGCAAGAUCAUCAAAUAUAUCAUAGGUGACAUUCUGGAAUUUUGCUGGAAUUUAUUGAGAACAUUUCUAAUAGAAAUAUUUCAAAAGCUUGAAAUAGGCAGGAAGGGUUUNNNNNNNNNNNNNNNNNNNNNNNNNNNNNNNNNNNNNNNNNNNNNNNNNNNNNNNNNNNNNNNNNNNNNNNNNNNNNNNNNNNNNNNNNNNNNNNNNNNNUGACACUAAUCCGAAUAACUAUGAGUAGUGAAGCGGAUUCGUAUAGUAGAGUAGAUAUUUGGAGUAUUUCCGAAUAGCACGUAGUAGCAACAUCUAUAAGAUGACAUAAAGAUUUGUAAAGAACACACGGAUCUGAAAUUUUCAGAACCGUUGACUAAAACCUCUCUCAUGAGCAAUACGUGAUCAGACCCCAGAACUAUAUGGGUGUUAGAUUCGGUAGAAUCACAUGGUGAUGUGAACUGGAUUAUUGACUCUAGUGCAAGUGGGAGACUGUUGGAAAUAUGCCCUAGAGGCAAUAAUAAAUUAGUUAUUAUUAUAUUUCUUUGUUCAUGAUGAUCGUUUAUUAUCCAUGCUAUAAUUAUAUUGAUUGGAAACACAAUACAUGUGUGGAUACAUAGACAAAACACUGUCCCUAGUAAGCCUCUAGUUGACUAGCUCGUUGAUCAAAGAUGGUCAAGGUUUCCUGACCAUAGGNNNNNNNNNNNNNNNNNNNNNNNNNNNNNNNNNNNNNNNNNNNNNNNNNNNNNNNNNNNNNNNNNNNNNNNNNNNNNNNNNNNNNNNNNNNNNNNNNNNNNNNNNNNNNNNNNNNNNNUUUUUCUGCGUGUCAAGUAUUUAUUCCUAUGACCAUGAGAUCAUAUAACUCACUGGCACCGGAGGAAUACCUUGUGUGUAUCAAACGUCACAACGUAACUGGGUGACUAUAAAGACGCUCUACAGGUAUCUCCGAAGGUGUCCGUUGAGUUAGUAUGGAUCAAGACUGGGAUUUGUCACUCCGUGUUACAAAGAGGUAUCUCGGGGCCCACUCGGUAAUACAACAUCACACACAAGCCUUGCAAGCAAUGUGACUUAGUGUAUAUCAUGGGAUCUUGUAUUACAGAACGAGUAAAGAGACUUGCCGGUAAAUGAGAUUGAAAUAGGUAUGCGGAUACUGACGAUCGAAUCUCGGGCAAGUAACAUACCGAAGGACAAAGGGAAUGACAUACGGGAUUAUAUGAAUCUUUGACACUAAGGUUCAAACGAUAAGAUCUUCGUAGAAUAUGUAGGAUCCAAUAUGGGUAUCCAGGUCCCACUAUUGGAUAUUGACCGAGGANNNNNNNNNNCUUGGCGCUGAGGUUCAAACGAUAAGAUCUUCGUAGAAUAUGUGGGAUCCAAUAUGGGUAUCCAGGUCCCACUAUUGGAUAUUGACCGAGGAGUCACUCGGGUCAUGUCUACAUAGUUCUUGAACCCGCAGGGUCUGCACACUUAAGGUUCGACGUUGUUUUAUGCGUAUUUGAGUUAUAUGGUGGUUACCGAAUGUUGUUCGGAGUCCCGGAUGAGAUCACGGACGUCGCGAGGGUUUCCGGAAUGGUCCGGAAACGAAGAUUGAUAUAUAGGAUGACCUUAUUUGAUUACCGAAAAGUUUUCGNNNNNNNNNNCCUCGGGUGAUGUCUACAUAGUUCUCGAACCCGCAGGUUUUGCACACUUAAGGUUCAACGUUGUUUUAUGCAUAUUUGAGUUAUAUGGUGGUUACCGAAUGUUGUUUGGAGUCCCGGAUGAGAUCACGGACGUCACGAGGGUUUAUGGAAUGGUCCGAAGAUGAAGAUUGAUAUAUAGGAUGACCUCAUUUGAUUACCAGAAAGUUUUCGGCAUUACCGGGAAUGUACCGGGAGUGACGAAUGGCUUCCGGAUGUUCACCGGGGGGGGGGGGGGGNNNNNNNNNNAGAUUAUAUGAAUCCUUGGCACUAAGGUUCAAACGAUAAGAUCUUCAUAGAAUAUGUAGGACUCAAUAUGGGCAUCCAGGUCCCGCUAUUGGAUAUUGACCGAGGAGUCCCCGGGUCAUGUCUACAUAGUUCUCGAACCCGCAGGGUCUGCACACUUAAGGUUCGGCGUUGUUUUAUGCGUAUUUGAGUUAUAUGGUUGGUUAUCGAAUGUUGUUCGGAGUCCGAGAUGAGAUCAAGGACGUCACGAGGGUUUAUGGAAUGGUCCGGAGAUGAAGAUUGAUAUAUAGGAUGACCUUAUUUGAUUACCGAAAAGUUUUCGACAUUACCGGGAAUGUACCGGGAGUGACGAAUGGGUUCCGGAUGUUCACUGGGAGGGGUGGGGCAGCCCACCCCGGGAAGCCCAUAGGCCUUAGGGGUGCCGCACCAGCCCUUAGUGGGCUGGUGGGCAAGCCCAAGAAGGCCCCUGCGCAGGAGAGAAAGAAAAUCAAAGAGAAAAGAAAAAAAGGGGAAGUGGGAAAAUGGAGAAGGACUCCACCUUCCAAUCCUAGUUGGACUAGGAUUGGAGGAGGAAUCCUCCUCCCCCCACUUCGGCCGACCCCUUGGGGCUCCUUGAGCCUCAAGGCAAGGUCCCUCCGCUCCCUCCUAUGUAUACUGAGGUAUUAGGGAUGAUUUGUGACAACUCUUUGCCAUGGAGCCCGACCACAUACCUCCACGGUUUUUCCUCUAGACCGCGUUUCUGUGGAGCUCGGGCGGAGCCUUGCUGAGAUAAGAUCACCACCAACCUCCGGAGCGCCGUCACGCUGCCGGAGAACACAUCUACCUCUCCGUCUCUCUUGCUGGAUCAAGAAGGCCGAGAUCAUCGUCGAGCUGUACGUGUGUUGAACGCGGAGGUGUCGUCCGUUCGGCACUAGAUCGGUGCGGAUCGCGGGACGGUUCAUGGGAUGGUUCGCGGGGCGGAUCGAGGGACGUGAGGACGUUCCACUACAUCAACCGUGUUUCUUAAUGCUUCCUACUGUGCGAUCUACAAGGGUACAUAGAUCGGAAAUCCCCUCUCAUAGAUGGACAUCACCAUGAUAGGUCUUCGUGCGCGUAGGAAUUUUUUUGUUUCCCAUGCGACGUUUCCCAUGAGUUAAUUCCUAUGGCAAACUUUCCCGGUGCUCGCAAGCUGUUUGAUGAAAUGUCACUCCCGACACCGACGACUCACGAUCCUGACUACACCGAGUUCAUGGAGAACGUCAUCUACGAGGGCCGUGGCCAGACAUUCCAUGUCGAUGUCCAAGGCCAUGCUUUGGAUGCCGAAGAGACCCAAAUCGAAGACGAUUGCGACCAAUAUGGUACCGACCACUUCGGUUCCCAUGAAGAAGAAGAGGCCGACAACCAUGGAAACUCAUCGCAUGAACAUGAUGACAUGUAUUGCUGUGAUAUCCUCAGCUUUUGCUACAGUAAUGUAUGUAAUUAAGCUAGAGUGAUCCAACGCUAAUGAUGCCACGUCACCGUGAUUUCUAUCGUUGAUCUCGUGUUAGUCGAAACUGAGUCAAAUUCAAAAUUUUAGAAAAUAAGUCGAACGAGAAAAGUUUUCGAAUGUUAAAAUAAAAAUGUCUGAUGAGUUACAAAAAUUCCCUAAUAAUUUAUUAAGUUGAAUCAAACAUUUUUGAAAUUAUUUAGAACCCCUAUAUAAUUAAAACAGAAACUACUAAAAAAACUAAUAAAAGAAAACCCAAAAGGCCACGCCCCAACUGGGCCAAAUGGCCCAACCCCACCGGCCCAUCCACCCGGGGGUAUAAGACCCCCCAGGGAAACCUAACCCUAACCGAGCCCUCCCAUUUUCCUCCCUGCCCCUCCGCUAGAAACGACGAGGGGAAAAUCCCCCUCGUAUCCUUCUCUCUCGCCCGAUCCCCCACCCCGUUCCCCUGGUCCCGUCACUCCCUCCCCACCGAGUCCAGCUCGUCCCUCGUACUUCCCUCGCCAGCUCCCCACGCCGUCGCCCUCCCAGCCACUGGGACCGGCCCCUCGUCGCCCAUCCCCGGAUCCACCUCUACCCCACCCGGCCCGAGCCACCNNNNNNNNNNNNNNNNNNNNNNNNNNNNNNNNNNNNNNNNNNNNNNNNNNNNNNNNNNNNNNNNNNNNNNNNNNNNNNNNNNNNNNNNNNNNNNNNNNNNUGAUGAUCGGCGUUCAGUCGGUGACACUUACGACCCAAGGCCCGACGCGAGAGGGCGUAUCGCCCAGCGGAGGGCCGACAGGGGCCGAGCCCACCGCGAUAGUUACGAUAUUGACCGUCCGAGUGGAAGCAGGACCAUCGUGUCUGGUCCCGAGUGUUUUAGUUGAGCCAUCCGUUCGGCUGACAUCCCUCCCAACUUCCGAUUGGCGACGGGAAUCAGCAAGUUUACAGGAGAGUCCAAGCCAGAAACGUGGCUGGAUGAUUACCGAGUGGCAGUCCAGAUCGGAGGAGGGGACGACCAUGUCGCCAUGAAGCACCUCCCUCUGAUGCUCGACGGCUCGGCGCGAGCGUGGCUGAACCAGUUGGCCCCCUCAAGCAUUUACAGUUGGGCAGAUCUGGCCCGAGUGUUCAUCAGGAGCUUUGAAGGGACGUGCAAGCGCCUUGCUGGCCUCGUGGAGCUCCAGCACUGCGUCCAGAAGCAGAAUGAGCCCCCUUCGUGAUUUCAUUCAGCGUUGGACAACUCUUUACCACACGGUGGAGAACGUCACAGAGCAUCAAGCAGUCCGCGCCUUCAAGGCAGGCGUGCGGUACAGGGAUCUGUACCUAAAGUUCGGCCGAACAGGUGACAUCUCCAUGAACAAGAUGAUGGAGAUAGCAGCACGCUAUGCAAAUGGCGAAGAAGAGGACCGCAUCCGAAGCGGCAAGCACAAGACAGUCGGUGAUGGAGAUGGAAGUAACACUCGGAAGCAGAAGCAGAAAGCUCCGUCCACUCCGCAGGCAGAAGCUGCAGCCGUAACCAAUGCCAAGUUCAAGGGCAAAGGGAAGGUGCAGUUUACCCCCAAGAAGAAGCAGUUCAAUAAUCCCAUCCUGGACCAACCAUGUCCAGUUCAUACGAAGAUGGAUGAAGAGGGCAACCCCGUAUAUCCAAAGCACACCACUCGACAGUGUCGCCUCCUGAUCCAGGGGUUCGGCGAAGGGCAACCGAGUGAAAAGGACAAUGAACAGGAUGAGGAGGAUAAGGAGGAUCCGUUCCCCCAAGUCCAUGCAACACUGNNNNNNNNNNCUCAGUUCACCCCCAAGAAAAAGCAGUUCAAUAAUCCCAUCCUGGACCAGCCAUGUCCGGUUCAUACGAAGAUGGAUGAAGAGGGCAACCCCAUAUAUCCGAAGCAGACCACUCGACGGUGUCGCCUCCUGAUCCAGGGGUUCGGUGAAGGGCAACCGAGUGAAAAGGACAAUGAACAUGAUGAGGAGGAUAAGGAGGAUCCGUUCCCCCAAGUCCAUGCAACACUGAUGAUUUUUGCUGACGUCGAGAACAAGAGUCGACUGAAGCUGGUGAACAGGGAGGUGAACAUGGCCACCCCUACCAACCCCAAGUUCCUCAAAUGGUCUCAGACUGCGAUCACCUUUGACCAGUCGGAUCAUCCAGCACACGUACCCACCCCAGGGAGACAGGCUCUAGUCGUCGACCCGGUGGUGGAAGGAGCCCGACUGCGCAAAGUCCUCAUGGAUGGCGGCAGCGGCUUGAACAUCGUGUACGCCGACACUCUCAAGGGGAUGGCAUUCCGAUGUCCAAACUCAGCGAGAGCAGCAUGCAGUUCCAUGGAGUCGUCCCUGGACGGAAGGCCAAGUCACUCGGCCAGAUCUUGUUGGACGUCGUUUUCGGCUCCAACAAGAACUUCCGUAAGGAAAAGCUGACGUUCGAAGUGGUGGACUUCCAGAGCGCUUACCAUGCAAUUCUGGGCCGCCCAGCGUAUGCGCGUUUCAUGGCCCGUCCGUGUUACGUAUACCUGAAGUUGAAGAUGCUAGGCCCGAAAGGUGUGAUCACCAUCACGGGCAAUCGACAGCGGGCCAAAGAGUGUCUGCAGCAGGGAUCAAGAAUCGCCGACCAACAGAUGGCCGUCCUCGAGCUCGACGAGUACAAGAAAACGGUCGACCCCGCUGACCUGAUGCGCUCGAAGAAGCCAGCUUCAGAGUCUGCAUUCCAGUCGGCGGGAGAGACGAAGAAGGUCAGCAUCCACUCGACGGACGACACUGCUGCCCCGACGAACAUCUCCACCACCCUCGAUCCUAAAUAGGAAGCCGAGCUCACCCAAUUCCUCCGUGAGAACUGGGACAUCUUCGCAUGGAGACCCUCUGACAUGCCAGGUGUACCCAGGGAGUUGGCUGAGCACCGACUGCAUGUGGAUCCCACCGCUCGGCCCGUCCGAGAAUGCCUGCGCCGGUCCGCCGCGCACAAGAGGAAGGCAAUCGGGGAAGAGUUGGCCAAGCUGCUGGCAGCCAACUUCAUUCGCGAGGUUCACCACUCCGAGUGGCUCGCCAAUGUUGUCAUGGUGCCCAAGAAGGACAAGUCGCUCCGAAUGUGCAUCGACUUCAAGCAUCUCAAUAAGGUCUGCCCGAAAGACUAUUUUUCGCUCCCCCGCAUCGAUCAAAUUGUCGAUUCGACUGCGGGUUGCGAGCGUUUGUCUUUUUUGAUGCCUACUCGGGCUAUCAUCAGAUCCGUCUGUAUGGCCUCGAUGAAUUAAAAACAGCCUUCAUCACCCCAUUCGGGUGCUUCUGCUANNNNNNNNNNCUGCGAACGUUUGUCAUUUCUCGAUGCCUACUCGGGCUAUCAUCAGAUCCGUCUGUAUGGCCCCGAUGAAUUAAAAACAGCCUUCAUCACCCCAUUCGGGUGCUUCUGCUACAUCACUAUGCUAUUCGGUUUGAAGAAUGCAGGAACUACCUUUAUGCGCAUGAUCCAAAAAUGCCUCCUCGACCAGAUCGGUCGGAAUGUGGAGGCGUAUAUGGAUGAUACCGUAGUCAAGUCAUGCAAAGGUUCCGACCUGCUGACUGACUUGGCAGAAACAUUCGCCAACCUUCGUAGGUACGAUAUCAAGCACAACCCCGCCAAGUGUUCAUUCGGCGUUCCCAGCGGAAAGUUACUCGGUUUCUUCGUUUUCGAACGAGGGAUCGAUGUCAACCCCGAAAAAAUCAGGACCAUCGUCCGAAUGGAGAGGCCGGUCAGAAUACACGAUGUUCAACGGCUCACAGGUUGCCUAGCGGCUUUGAGCAGGUUUAUCAGUCGACUCGGCGAGAAAGCACUUCCUCUGUACCGACUCAUUAAGAAAAUCAGAUACGUUCGAGUGGACAGACGAAGCCCAAGUCGCAUUCGACGACCUCAAAGUCCUACUUUCCACCCAGUCGGUUCUUACUGCUCCGCUCAAUAAAGAGCCCUUCUUCUGUAUAUCGCGGCUACAAAUCAAGUCGACAACACUGUUCUUACAGUCGAACGAGAAGAAGAAGACGAAGCAUACAAAGUUCAGCGGCCAGUGUAUUACGUCUCCGAAGUCCUGANNNNNNNNNNNNNNNNNNNNNNNNNNNNNNNNNNNNNNNNNNNNNNNNNNNNNNNNNNNNNNNNNNNNNNNNNNNNNNNNNNNNNNNNNNNNNNNNNNNNAAUGAUAGCAUGCCACCCAAAAUUAUUUAUCUCUGUCUUCAAAGCUUGAGCUCUGGCACCUCUGCAAAUCAAUGCUUCCCUCUGUGAAGGACCUAUCUGUUUAUGUUUCUGUUGAGUCAUCCUCUUCUUAUACUGUCUGCAUCUACUACUAUUACUCCACACGUCGACCGCUAUCCANNNNNNNNNNUCUUACUCCCAACGGUUUGAAGGGGUUGUCAAUCCCUUAUAGAUUGUUCGCCAAGUGAGAACAGAAAGCAACAAAGUAACAUAGCAAAGUAAAAGCAAAAGUGGAAACGAUAGAUGUGAAUAGACCCGGGGGGCGUAGUGUUUACUAGUGGCUUCUCUCAUGAAAGCAAGUAGACGGUGGGUGAACAAAUUACUGUCGAGCAAUUGAUAGAACCGCGCAAAGUCGUGACGUCAUCUAUGGCAAUGAUUAUAUCUAUAGGCAUCACGUCCAAAACAAGUAGACCGAUACUGUCUGCAUCUACUACUAUUACUCCACACGUCGACCGCUAUCCAGCAUGCAUCUAGUGUAUUAAGUCCAAAAGAACAGAGUAACGCCUUAAGCAAGAUGACAUGAUGUAGAUGGACAAUCUCAUAUCAACGACAGAGCCCAUCUUGUUACCCUUAAUGGCAACUACUUAAUGUGUGCCUUGCUGCCCCUACUGUCACUAGGAAAGGUCACCAUAUGGUAAGAACCGAAAACCAAGCACUUCUCCCAUUGCAAGAAUCAUAGAUCUAGUUGGCCANNNNNNNNNNNNNNNNNNNNNNNNNNNNNNNNNCUGCCCCUACUGUCAGUGGGAAAGGUCACCACAUGGUAAGAACCCAAAACCAAGCACUUCUCCCAUUGCAAGAAUCAUAGAUCUAGUUGGCCAAAAAAACCCAAGACUCGGAGAGACUUACAAGGAUAUCAAAUCAUGCAUAUAAGAAAUCAGCAAAGACUCAAAUAUAUAUCAUAGAUAACCUAAUCAGAAAUGCACAAUUCAUUGGAUCUUGACAAACACACUGCCAAAUAAGAUUACAUCGGAUAGAUCUCCAUGAAGAUCAUGGAGAACUUUGUAUUGAAGAUCCAAGAGNNNNNNNNNNNUCUAAUCAGAAAUGCACAAUUCAUCGGAUCUUGACAAACACACUGCCAAAUAAGAUUACAUAGGAUAGAUCUCCAUGAAGAUCACGGAGAACUUUGUAUUGAAGAUCCAAGAGAGAGAAGAAGCCAUCUAGCACCUAACUACGGACCCAUAGGUCUGAAGUGAACUACUCAUGAGUCAUUGGAGGGGCGAUUAUGAUGAUGAAGAAGCCCUCCAACUCCAAAGUCCCCUCCGACAGGGUGCCGGGAAGGGUCUCCAGAUGAGAUCUCACGAAAACGGAAGCUUGCGGCGACGGAAAAGUAUUUUCAUGGAUCCCCUGAUUUUUUGCUGUAUUUUAGGGAAUAUAUAGGCAAAAGAUCUAGGUCAGGGGGCGCCCAGGGAGGCCACAAGUCCUGCCACCGCCGCCUCCCCCCUGGUGGCGGAGUGGGGGCUUGUGGGCUCCCUGGAGCCCUCCUGGAUUGGCCCACGGCCCCCCUGACCUUCUUCGUUCGGGAAAAAAUCAUUUCGGGGAUUUUAUUCCGUUUGGACUCCGUUCCAAAAUCAGAUCUCAAAAGAGCCAAAAACACAGAAAAAACAGGAGCUGGCACUUGGCACUGAAUUAAUAAGUUAGUCCCAAAAAGAUAUGAAAGGUACAUAAAACAUCCAAAGAUGACAAGAUAACAGCGUGAAACCAAUAAAAAUUAUAGAUACGUUUGAGACAUAUCAGACAUCUACGCAUAUUGGGGCAAAGCACCACCACAGGCGCCCGUGCCCGAGCUCUAGUCGAGUACCAGACGCCAGUUUAUCAGUGGGAGCCAGAGGAGCUCACCCAGCAGUGGCACCCUCAGUACACUCCGGAGUACCCGAGAGUUGGUUAUUUCCCUCCUUGGGAGUAGACCAACUUAGGCCAAAAGCCUAAGCUUGGGGGAGUACGUGUUUCUCACCGACUUUAUAUUCAUGCUCACACUUUCAUUUUGAUAGUCGGUGUUCACACUUUGCCACUGUACCAUCCAUGCUAGUUUAUUUCUUUUUCUCGCUUUCUUCUCGUGUGUUUGUCUAGUUUGAUAAAACCCAAAAAGAUUUCUCGUUCUUCUUUUGCUUGUUGGGAGCUUUCCUGUGUAAAUAGUCUUCUUUUUCUUUGGGUCAAGGUAGAAGACCAUGGUUACAAUGUUUAGUGGCUCUCGCAUGAUAUCUGUUUAUCUGUCAAAGAGCCAUAUUACUUUGUCUUCUCCUUUGUGUUUGCUUGCAGAUUCCAUCUUAGUCCAAUGCACGAGCACCCUUAUUAUUGUUCACAUCAUUCGGUCGUGCAAGUGAAAGGCAAUAAUGAAGAUAUAUGAUGAAGUGACUAAGCCUGGAAAAGUUGUUAUGAACUCGAUCUAUUUUGUUUUUGUAAAUAUGACUAGCUCAUCGUUCCUGAUUCAGCUUUGUUGUGAGAGAAACAUGUUUGCAAUGACAACUUAGAGAUCAUAGUUUCUGAUGCCAUGCUUAAUUAGCUAGGAGCUUAUAAUGGUUUGUCUUGGAUGCCAACAUGAAUUUCAUGAUGACUAUGAUGUAGUAUGAUAGGAUUGUAUCCUCCUUUGAAUGAUUCAAGUGGCUUGACUUGGCGCAUGUUUACGCAUGUAGUUGAAACAAAAUCAACAUAGCCUCUAUGAUAUUCAUGUUUAUGGUGAUUUAUGUCCUACUCAUGCUUGCACUCGAUGUUGGUUAAUCUCAAUGCAUUUUGAUGACUGUUGUCGCUCUCUAGUUGGUCGCUUCCUAGUCUUUUGCUAGCCUUCACUUGUACUAAGCGGGAAUAUUGCUUGUGCAUCCACUUCCAUAAAACCAAAGUUGUUCCAUAUGAGUCCACCAUACCUACCUAUAUGCGGUAUCUACCUGCCGUUCCAAGUAAAUUUGCAUGUGCCACUCUCUAAACCUUCAAGAAAUAAUCUAUUUUGCAUGCCCGAACCGCUCAUGUGGUGACAAGGUGCGAUCAGUAUCUUCCAUGCUAGGCGUGUUAUCCUCGAUAUGUGUUUAUUCACUAUCAUUUACGAGAAAGGGGUUGGUAAUUGGAAUGCCCAGUUCCAUGCUCAAAUCAAAAAGAUAAUUGCAAACAAAACUCCCCCUGGACUGUUGUUGGUAUGGACGACACCCGAGUAUUCGGCUAGUCGUGGAGUGUGAUUGAUCGGUGGUGGGGGAGUCAAAACUUUACUUUCUGUUUGGGAACCGCCUAUAGUAUGUGUAGCAUGGAAGAUGGUGAAAACUCUUGGUUAUUGCGUUGACAAUGAAAGCAUGCCACCCAAAAUUAUUUAUCUCUAUCUUCAAAGCUUGAGCUCUGGCACCUCUGCAAAUCAAUGCUUCCCUCUNNNNNNNNNNAGUCAAAACUUUACUUUCUGUUUGGGAACCGCCUAUAGUAUAUGUAGCAUGGAAGAUGGUGAAAACUAUUGGUCAAUGCGUUGACAAUUGUUGGGACCCCGAUCCUAAGUCAUAGGAAUCCAGCCUGUAACACAUCGCAUNNNNNNNNNNNNNNNNNNNNNNNNNNNNNNNNNNNNNNNNNNNNNNNNNNNNNNNNNNNNNNNNNNNNNNNNNNNNNNNNNNNNNNNNNNNNNNNNNNNNAUCGCAGCUAAGUCCCCGAGUGCGACGUUUAGUGCACACUCGGAGAAAUUUAGUACUUAGGCGAUUCUUGAUCGCAGCUAAGUCCCCGAGUGCGACGUUUAGUGCACACUCGGAGAAAGUUAGUACUUAGGCAAUUUUUCAUCGCAGCUAAGUCCCUGAGUGCGACGUUUAGUGCACACUCGAAGAAAGUUAGUGCUUAGGCGAUUCUUGAUCGCAGCUAAGUCCCCGAGUGCGACGUUUAGUGCACACACGGAGAAGAUUAGUAAUUAGGCGAUUCUUGAUCGCAGCUAAGUCCCCGAGUGCGACGUUUAGUGCACACUCGGAGAAAGUCAGUACUUAGGCGAUUCUUGAUCGCAGCUAAGUCCCCGAGUGCGACGUUUAGUGCAUACUCGGAGAAAGUCAGUACUUAGGCGAUUCGUGAUCACAGCUAAGUCAUCGAGUGCGACGUUAAGUGCACACUCGGAGAAAGUUAGUACUUAGGCGAUUCGUGAUCGUAGCUAAGUCCCUGAGUGCGACGUUUAGUGCACACUCGGAGAAAGUUAGUACUUAGGCGAUNNNNNNNNNNNNNNNNNNNNNNNNNNNNNNNNNNNNNNNNNNNNNNNNNNNNNNNNNNNNNNNNNNNNNNNNNNNNNNNNNNNNNNNNNNNNNNNNNNNNGCCAGGAGGGCUCCAGGGAGCCCACAAGCCCCCACUCCGCCACCAGGGGGGAGGCGGCGGUGGCAGGACUUGUGGCCUCCCUGGGCGCCCCUGACCAAGAUCUUUGGCCUAUAUAUCCCCUAAAAUACAUCAAAAAAAUCAGGGGAUCAAUGAAAAUACUUUCCACCGCCGCAAGCUUCCGUUUCCGCGAGAUCUCAUCUGGAGACCCUUCCCGGCACCCUGCCAGACGGGACUUUGGAGUUGGACGGCUUCUUCAUCAUCAUCAUCGCCCCUCCAAUGACUCGUGAGUAGUUCACUUCAGACCUACGGGUCCGUAGUUAGUAGCUAGAUGGCUUCUUCUCUCUCUUGGAUCUUCAAUACAAAGUUCUCCAUGAUCUUCACAUAGAUCUAUCCGAUGUAAUCUUCUUUGGCGGUGUGUUUGUCGAGAUCCGAUGAAUUGUAGAUUUGUGAUCAGAUUAUCUAUGAUAUAUAUUUGAGUCUUUGGUGAUUUCUUAUAUGCAUGAUUUGAUAUCCUUGUAAGUCUCUCCGAGUCNNNNNNNNNNNNNNNNNNNNNNNNNNNNNNNNNNNNNNNNNNNNNNNNNNNNNNNNNNNNNNNNNNNNNNNNNNNNNNNNNNNNNNNNNNNNNNNNNNNNCUGCUGACUGACUUGGCAGAAACAUUCGCCAACCUUCGUAGGUACGAUUUCAAGCUCAACCCCGCCAAAUGCUCAUUCGGCGUUCCCAGCGGAAAGUUACUCGGUUUCUUCGUUUUUGAACGAGGGAUCGAUGUCAACCCCGAAAAGAUUGGGACCAUAGUCCGAAUGGAGAGGCCGGUCAGAUUACAUGAUGUUCAACGGCUCACGGGUUUCCUAGCGGCUUUGAGCAGGUUCAUCAGUCGACUCAGCGAGAAAGCGCUUCCUCUGUACCGACUCAUGAAGAAAUCAGAUACUUUCAAGUGGACAGACGAAGCCCAAGUCGCAUUCGACGACCUCAAAGUCCUACUUUCCACCCAUCCGGUUCUUACUGCUCCACUCAGUAAAGAGCCCCUUCUUCGGUAUAUCGCGGCUACAAAUCAAGUCGUCAGCACUGUUCUUACAGUCGAACGAGAAGAAGAAGGCAAAGCAUACAAAGUUCAGCGGCCAGUGUACUACGUCUCCGAAGUCCUGACUCCUUCCAAGCAGAGGUAUCCCCACUAUCAAAAACUUAUCUACGGGAUUUACAUGACUGUGAAGAAGGUGGCCCAUUAUUUUUAAGACCAUUCGGUGUCUGUUGUUUUUGAUGCCCCGUUAUAGGAAAUCCUCCACAAUCGGGACGCAUCAGGCCGAGUGGCGAAGUGGACAAUGAAGAUGUUGUACUGCGAUAUCAAGUUCGAGGCCAAUAAAGCUAUAAAGUCUCAAGCCCUGCCUGACUUCAUAGCAGAAUGGGUAGAACAAAAGCAACCGACCCACAUCUACUCGGCUUAUUGGACAAUGUUCUUUGAUGGGUCCAAGAUGUUGAAUGGCUCCGGCGCUGGCGUUGUGAUCGUAUCGCCAAAGGGCGACAAACUCAAAUAUGUGCUGCAGAUAAACUUUGAUUCCUCCAACAAUGAGGCAGAGUAUGAAGCUCUCCUUUAUGGACUGCGUAUGGCCAUCGCACUCGGCGUCCGUCGCCUGAUGGUCUUUGGCGAUUCGACUUUGGUGGUUAAUCAAGUGAUGAAAGAGUGGGACGUCAGGAACCCCACCAUGACCACAUACUGCAAUGCAGUGAGGAAGCUCGAGAAGAAGUUUGAAGGUCUAGAACUCCACCAUGUUCCGCGACUGAAGAACCAAGCAGCUGAUGAAUUGGCGAAACUCGGAUCCACUCGGAGACCAGUCCCGAGUGACGUCUGCCUCGAGCACCUCCACCUUCCCUCAGUCAAAGAAGAUCCUUUCACAGAAAAACAAGUACAACCAAAGAGCACGACAGAUCCGACUGAAGUCGACGUACCUGCUGUGGUUGAUCUGAUCAUGAAGAUUAUUGCUGUCAUCUCUGAUUGGACUGUGCCGAUCAUUGCAUAUAUCCUGAGGCAGGAAUUACCAGAAGACGAAGUCCAGGCCAGGCAGAUAGUCCGCAGGUCGAAGUCGUUCACUGUCAUUGAUGGCUAGUUGUACAAGGAAAGCGUUUCAGGCGUUCUUCAACGAUGUAUCUCCCCAGAGGAGGGACAGUUGAUCCUGGAAGAAAUUCACUUGGGAACCUGCGGUCAUCACGCCUCUUCGAGAGCGAUCGUCGCCAAAGCAUUCAGAGCUGGUUUCUUCUGGCUGCAGGCAAACGAAAUGGCUAAAGAUAUGGUCGACCGAUGUGAAGCCUGUUAGUUCUACUCCAACAAGUCCCACAAGCCAACAUCUGCGUUGAAGACAAUCCCUCUUGUGUGGCUGUUUUUAGUAUGGGGAUUAGAUACAGUCGGUUCAUUCAGGACAGGCCAAGGAGGAUACACACAUCUGUUGGUGGCAGUUGACAAGUUCACAAAAUGGAUUGAAGCAAAAGGCCAUCAAGAAGCUCGACGCCCUAACAGCCAUCAAGUUUGUCAGGGAUAUCAUCUCCCGAUUCGGGGUACCUCACAGCAUAAUCACAGACAACGGAACAAACUUUGACUCGGACAGAUUCAAAGGUUUCUGUGCAAGCCAUGGUAUCUGAGUGGAUUUUGCAUUCGUGGCGCAUCCUCAAUCAAACGGACAAGCAGAGCGGACAAAUGGACUUAUUCUGCAAGGUUUGAAGCCCCGACUCCUGCGAGAGAUGGGACAUGCCGCUGGCGUAUGGGUCACCGAGCUACCUUCAGUACUUUGGGGUCUCCGCACAACCCCGAACAGAUCUACAGGGCGAUCACCGUUCUUCCUCGUUUACGGAGCAGAAGCAGUCCUUCCGAGUGACUUGAUUCACAAUGCUCCAUGAGUCGAGCUCUUCUCCGAAGCUGAAUCAGAACAAGCGAGGCAAGACGGAGUGAACCUUCUAGAGGAGGAGCGCGAGAUGGCUCUGACUCGUUCAACCAUUUAUCAACAAGAUCUGCGGCGCUUUCACGCACGCCACGUCAGGAGUCGCACGUUCCAAGCAGACGACCUGGUGCUCCGAGUGGAUCAGCAAAGACCUCACAAGUUGGCUCCUGCCUGGGAAGGACCCUUCAUCAUCUCCAAGGUGCUGAACAACGGAGCAUACAGACUCUACAACAUCGACAGGGAGACAGACGAGCCGCGAGCAUGGAACGGAGAUCUCCUGAAACGCUUCUACACGUGACCGUCGACUGAAGCAAUGUAAAGAACAAGUAUUGGUGAAAUAAUAUAAAACAGAUUGAGCUUUUGCAGAUUCAAAAUUCUUUCGCGGUCGCAGACUCCGGUCUCAAAAAAAAAAACUUAGCUGCGAUCCAGAAUCGCCUAAGUACUAACUUUCUCCGAGUAAGUACUAAACGUCGCACUCGGAGAUUUAGCUGCGAUCACGAAUCGCCUAAGUACUAACUUUCUCCGAGUGUGCACUAAACGUCGCACUCGGGGACUUAGCUGCGAUCAAGAAUCGCCUAAGUACUGACUUUCUCCGAGUGUGCACUAAACGUCGCACUUGGGGACUUAGCUGCGAUCAAGAAUUGCCUAAGUACUAAUUUUCUCCGUGUGUGCACUAAACGUCGCACUCUGGGACUUAGCUGUGAUCAAGAAUCGCCUAAGUACAAAGCUUCCUGCGACUGUAUCCCACAGAUACACUCGGGGACUCAGCAGGCGCUCAUUGAGGCUCAUGUGGAUUUCAAGACCACUGACAAUUACAUGAGUAGCAGACCCUCAUUGAGGCUCUCAUAUGGAUGUCAAGACCACUGACAAUUACAUGAGUAGCAGACCCUCAUUGAGGCUCAUGUGGAUGUCAAGACCACUGACAAUUACAUGAGUACCAACUCGCUUCGAGUGAGGCCUGUCCGACGCACUCGACGACUUAGCCGCGAUCAUGAAUCGCCUAAGUACUCUAUUGUCUUCGAGUGUACCCUACAGAUCCACUCGGAGACUCAGCAGACCCUCAUUGAGGCUCGCCAAGGUUUCUUACAACCAACACUCGGCAUACCGAGGUAAAAGUUUUCUUACGCGUCGUCCGGAUUGGCGCCAGGACUAGAGGGCUCCACGAAUGUGUCCAGGUCGAUUCCGUCGGCGAUACGGGUGGCACUCUUAAGGAAGGUUUCCAUGAAGUCUUCGAAUCGAAGUUUCUUCGUGUUGGCGACCUUCAACGCUUUCAGCUUCUCUUCGCGCACCUCCUUGCAAUGCACUCGGACCAGGGACAGAGCAACGUCUGCACCACAGCGAGCCGCAUAUUUCUUCCAUGACUGCACUCGGUUUGGGACCUCCUCCAGUCGAGUCAUCAAGCUUUCCAUCUCAUGCCGCGACUCAUCUUCAGGCCAAAGCUCCUUGUCGAUCCGGCCGACGACUUCUCUUAGUCGAUCGAUGAAAGGACCAACUUUGCCCACGCGAAUGUGCGCUCGGAGCAGAUCUCGAUUGGCGUCCUCGCCGAGUGGAAUGUUCUUGCGAAUCGACCGCUCCACGUCAGCUGCUUCAGCUUCAGCGUCCAUGCAAAAAUCUGCAAACACAGGACAAGCAAACAAUAAGCGCCGAGUGUAACGCACAUACCACAAGCACUCGGAAAAACAGGACUUACCAACCAGACGCGUUAUCAUCUGCCGGGCCCAGUCGCUGAUGUAUUUUUCCUGCGCUAUACACCGCUUGUUCAGCACAUUCAUUUGCCCCAUCAGCUCAGACCUAUGCGCCUUCAUCUUCUCAACUUCAGUAGUCAGUGCCUUGUUCGCUUCACGGGCCUGCUCCAACGACUUCUCUCGUUCCUCCAGAACGUCCUUCAUACCAGCCAUUGCAAUCAGUGCCGCAUCCAGCUCACCGGCAAACUGAACCUUUUCAGCCCUAAGAGUCUCGUAUGCUGUCCCCAUCUCACAAGUUUUCUGCCAGCCAGCACCAAUAGACGAUCAGACAAAUCCAACAAUAAAAAGUUUAAGUUCUUCAGACCCCUGCCGACGCAAGCAGUCGACAGCGGUCUCGGGGACUACACCCAGUGGGUUCACUGAGAGUGACCCCACUGGCAUGAAACUCAAACAGGUCCGCCCUAUUGAGAUGCAUGACAACACCUACGCCUACGAGGCUAAUACUACCCGACCUGAGUAAAAUUACUCUUGGGGACUCUUACAGUAGGUGCACUCCGAGUGCCCCAACCGUUAGCAUUUGACCAGAUUAUUUACGGAUCUGACCAAGUCAAAGACAAUAUGCAUAAAGACAACNNNNNNNNNNNNNNNNNNNNNNNNNNNNNNNNNNNNNNNNNNNNNNNNNNNNNNNNNNNNNNNNNNNNNNNNNNNNNNNNNNNNNNNNNNNNNNNNNNNNUUACAUCGCGUGACAUUUCCCCAAAGGGGACAGACACAGCAGCUAAGAAGGACACAUGCCGGUCAACCAAUGUGUCCGGAGCAUUAACGAACUACCAAGGCUCGUUGGAUCACAAAGGGGCAUUUCCUUGUAAGGAGUGCUACUAAAGUUCAUGACUAGGUAAUCGAACCCCAUACAUAUUAAGUACGACACACGUACGCAUGGCAUACCGAUAUGUAUAGAUACAUCGAUGGCAUCACAACAUAACCAUAAACAUANNNNNNNNNNAGAAGAGCCACACACAUAAUAUUACACAUUAAGGGUCUCACGACCCAUAAUAGUAGUCAUUCAGUUACAAGCUAGCGGAAGAGUUUAAACUGUCUGAGUACAGACAGGGCAACUAGAAGGCACAUGGCCUGACUAUACUACAGACCCAACGUAGGGCCGGAUCGUAGCUGGGACACCAGCUACUCGUCGUCGUCGAUGUCUACGAAGAACCCUCCAUUAGGGUCAUUGGCAACCUCUCCAACAUUUAUUAAGCAAACAUGAGUACGAAGGUACUCAGCAAGACUUCAGGAUAACUAACUACUCAUGCAAGGUAUCANNNNNNNNNNNNNNNNNNNNNNNNNNNNNNNNNNNNNNNNNNNNNNNNNNNNNNNNNNNNNNNNNNNNNNNNNNNNNNNNNNNNNNNNNNNNNNNNNNNNAACAGACCAUACACAACUCUAAGCAUAGCAUGCAUAGCAGGAUAAGACAUAUCAUGGCUCAAGCAACUACCAGGUAUGCUAGGUUGCAAGGUUCGGCUAUUUACUAUGACAAGGAUAGGCCAUGCAAAGGAAGUGGGUUCAACUAUCGUGGCAANNNNNNNNNNGUCGAGAGGGUCAAUUAAGUAUCCCAACGUGUGGUAGUAUCUAGUCUUGGAUUACAUACACGAAACUCAGUUCCUAAGGACGGUUCCAAUGAAACAACCCGCCAUGUACUCCUACACAGCCUUUCACCGGUACCUUUACCAAAUCAAGUUCAACACACAACCUUGGCUUACCGAACACAUUCUCACAAUUCUGUUCAUCUCCCAGAUGAUAGACCAUACACAACUCUAAGCAUAGCAUGCAUAGUAGGAUAAGACAUAUCAUGGCUCAAGCAACUACCAGGUAUACUAGGUUGCAAGGUUCGGCUAUUUACUGUGACAAGGAUAGGCCAUGCAAAGGAAGUGGGUUCAACUAUCGUGGCAAAAGCAGUUGAAACAUUUGAUCCUAAUGCAAUAAGUAAGUGCAGGAGCAAGAACAUGGGAUUUAUCGGGAUGAUCAAAAUGGUUGCUUGCCUUGUUGCUCAGAGGAGGGACAAUAUCCUUCAGACGGAUAUUCGGUGGAAUCCGGGGGUGCGGAGCCUACCGAAAUGAAUGGCAACAAUCAAUAACAAUCAUAUGCAAACAAGAUGAUGCAUGAGCAUGGCAUGAGAAUGCAAGGUGAUAAACUAUUAUAAUCAACAUGUAUUAGGUUUGAAGUUGAUUUGAAUCACAUUCAAAUAUCAAUUCAAACGAGGUAUUCUCGGAUACCGAUUUAAUUGAUUCGACGUGAUGCUCAGAUCAACUUGAUGUUAGCAUGCAUGAUAUGUCAUGUUAAGGUACUGGUUUGUUAUUAGAACAAUGUUUGAUCAUGUCAAACAAAAAGAAAUUUAAAUACUUUUCAUAUUCCAUUUAUAAAGUAUUUAUAAGAAUUGACUUAUUCAUUAAUCUACAUGUUUGGGUUCUAUAACUUUUUCAAACAUGAUUGAAAACAGCAUAUUCAGAUUCCUUGGAUUUUUCUGAUACUUUUUCAUAUAUAAAUUAUUUUCAUUGGAGUUAUAGAUUAAUUUCUAUGAAUUUUUUAAGUUUUAAACAUUUCUGGAAUUAUUUUUAUACUGGAAAAUACUUUUACUGCAUCAGCAUGACAUUAGCUGGUCUAUCUGGCCGUUGAAAGUCAAACCUGACCAGUGGGACCCACUGGUCAGUGUCUCUGGUCAAUUUUAGAUUAGGAUUAAUCUUAUUUAGUUAAUUAAACUCACUGGACCCACAUGUGAGUGUCUUAUUAAUUUAUCUGAUUUAUUUUUAUUAUCUCUAAACUAUCCAGAGGCUGGCCCCACCCGUCAGUGGCUCAGGCCAGCUGAGAUCCACCGGCGGCGAGGUCGUCCUCGCCGGCGGGGAGCUUCCGGCGAGCACCAGAAUGCCGGGGGGGCUCGGAAACGGCGCAAAGUGGGCCAAACUCGGCGCGGAGAGCACCAGAGGAACGACACUUCUCCCGCGGUUCCAUUUCUGCACUUUGCCGAGGCUGAUCUGGCCGGAGAUGACGUCGGCGACGAGCUUGGCGGCGGCCAAGGUUCGGGCGUCAUCGAGGUUAUCGAUACCAAGGGAGUUGCGCACGGGACUUAGCUCCUACGGCAUCUACGCGACGGCCUGAAGCUGCUGGUGCCCUCAGAAGGACAAGCUGAUCACCAGAGGGUUACAGGCAACGAGCUGCAGUGGCGGAUCUUGUCGGGCUCCUGUGGGACUAGGCCUAGAGGACGGGAUCGACGGGGAGAUCUUAGGGGGAAAACGCGCUAGCUCACGAGGAGUGCAGUGGUGGCGCUAGUUUGCUCGGGGACGGCCUGGAGAGGGAGAACGUCGACGACGAUCUUCGGUGACCCGAGGAAGAAGACGACUGCUUCUCGUCGUUUCACUGCAUCAGGGCAUCGGGCUCGUGGCUAGGGAGCUUCAGGGAGUUGCGGCGGAGCUAAUCCGCGGCUCAGAAGGAAAGAGGGGAGGCUAGAACGACGGCGAGCUCGAGCUCUACUCGGGCUCCAAUGGCGGCAGAAGGAGGGAGGAGAGAUCCGAGAGGAGGGGGGAACUCGCGCUGGGAAUGGAUAGCCACGGUCUCGGGGAGCUUAUCCCCGAGCUUGCCACCGCGAAGCGGCGGCCAGGCAGGCGCACAGGUGCGUGGCCGCGCCGGAGUACGCGGCGGCCACCUCCUGCUGCCCACUGGCAGGGAGGAAGACAACAGGAGUUGUUGGGCCGGGCUGAGGUGAGCGACAGGUAAGGGUUUUCCAUUUUUUUUGAUUUGUUUCUGUUUUGACUAUUUCAAUAACUUGCUAUUAAUUUCAGCUCCCAAAUAAAUUGUAAAAACUAUGUUAAGCACCCUAGCUUAUUUGUUGGAAUAUUUCCAACCAUUCCUAAAGUUUUCAACAUUUUUGAAAGUUUAAAGNNNNNNNNNNNNNNNNNNNNNNNNNNNNNNNNNNNNNNNNNNNNNNNNNNNNNNNNNNNNNNNNNNNNNNNNNNNNNNNNNNNNNNNNNNNNNNNNNNNNUCCUCUUCUUCGCCAUUUGCAUAGCGUGCUGCUAUCUCCAUCAUCUUGCUCAUGGAGAUGUCACCUGUUCGGCCGAAAUUUAGGUACAGAUCCCUGUACCGCACGCCUGCCUUGAAGGCGCAGACUACUUGAUGCUCGGUGACGUUCUCCACCGUGUGGUAGAGAGUUGUCCAACGCUGAAUGAAGUCACGCAGGGGCUCAUUCUGCUUCUGGACGCAAUGCUGGAGCUCCACGAGGCCCGCAGGGCGCUUGCACGUCCCUUCGAAGGUCCUGAUGAACACUCGGGCCAAAUCUGCCCAAUUGUAGAUGCUUGAGGGGGCCAACUGGUUCAGCCACGCUCGCGCCGACCCGUCGAUCAUCAGAGGGAGGUGCUUCAUCGCGACAUGGUCGUCUCCUCCUCCGAUCUGGACUGCCACUCGGUAAUCAUCCAGCCACGUUUCUGGCUUGGACUCUCGUGUAAACUUGCUGAUUCCCGUCGCCAAUCGGAAGUUGGGCGGGAUGUCAGCCGAACGGAUGGCUCGACUGAAACACUCGGGGCCGGACACGAUGGUCCUGCUUCCACUCGAACGGUCCAUAUCGUAACCAUCACGGUGGGCUCGGCCCCUGUCGACCCUUCGUUGGGCGAUACGCCCUCUUGCGUCGGGCCUUGGGUCGUAAGUGUCACCGACUGAACGCCGAUCAUCAUGAUGUCGGGGCCCGUAGGACCCACCCCGCGGAGGGGUGCGUGAACGGCGACGAUCUUCGGGAUUUAUGGAACGGUUGCCUCCCCUGUGUCGCUAAUGAGAACCAGGGCUGUGAACUGACCGAUGCGUAUUCGCAUGAACAAANNNNNNNNNNCUGCCUCUCCUGUGUCGCUGAUGGGAACCAGGGCUAUGAACUGACCGAUGCGUAUUCGCAUGAACAGAACUAUUGUGGAUCAUGUUGUACGACUGGGAAACAACCGAAUUUUGCUGCUGCGCCGUGUGCAGCAGGGCGCGGAUUUGCUCGAUCCCCUUGCCAGCCUCUGAAUCUGUCGGCUGAAGGGAAUCAGCUAUCUUGGCAGCCGCAGCCAAGUUGAGGAGAGGUGUGCGGAACAACUCCACGUUGCUCCGCCGAGUGUGCCGACUAGCAGAACGGCGAGGUGGACGACGCGCGCCGGACGUUUCGCCGACCUCGUGCUCGUUCCGGCCAGCUUGACGGGGAUCUUCAUGGGAGUUGGCCAUGUGUACUUCUGCUGCAGGCCCGCGACCCGCAUACUCGGAAGGAAACUCAGUUGGAACCGAGUCCGAGCGCUGGGACAGCGGGGCAACCNNNNNNNNNNNNNNNNNNNNNNNNNNNNNNNNNNNNNNNNNNNNNNNNNNNNNNNNNNNNNNNNNNNNNNNNNNNNNNNNNNNNNNNNNNNNNNNNNNNNCAAAUGGACUUAUUCUGCAAGGUUUGAAGCCCCGACUCCUGCGAGAGAUGGGACAUGCCGCUGGCGUAUGGGUCACCGAGCUACCUUCAGUACUUUGGGGUCUCCGCACAACCCCGAACAGAUCUACAGGGCGAUCACCGUUCUUCCUCGUUUACGGAGCAGAAGCAGUCCUUCCGAGUGACUUGAUUCACAAUGCUCCAUGAGUCGAGCUCUUCUCCGAAGCUGAAUCAGAACAAGCGAGGCAAGACGGAGUGAACCUUCUAGAGGAGGAGCGCGAGAUGGCUCUGACUCGUUCAACCAUUUAUCAACAAGAUCUGCGGCGCUUUCACGCACGCCACGUCAGGAGUCGCACGUUCCAAGCAGACGACCUGGUGCUCCGAGUGGAUCAGCAAAGACCUCACAAGUUGGCUCCUGCCUGGGAAGGACCCUUCAUCAUCUCCAAGGUGCUGAACAACGGAGCAUACAGACUCUACAACAUCGACAGGGAGACAGACGAGCCGCGAGCAUGGAACGGAGAUCUCCUGAAACGCUUCUACACGUGACCGUCGACUGAAGCAAUGUAAAGAACAAGUAUUGGUGAAAUAAUAUAAAACAGAUUGAGCUUUUGCAGAUUCAAAAUUCUUUCGCGGUCGCAGACUCCGGUCUCAAAAAAAAAAACUUAGCUGCGAUCCAGAAUCGCCUAAGUACUAACUUUCUCCGAGUAAGUACUAAACGUCGCACUCGGAGAUUUAGCUGCGAUCACGAAUCGCCUAAGUACUAACUUUCUCCGAGUGUGCACUAAACGUCGCACUCAGGGACUUAGCUACGAUCACGAAUCGCCUAAGUACUAACUUUCUCCGAGUGUGCACUUAACGUCGCACUCGAUGACUUAGCUGUGAUCACGAAUCGCCUAAGUACUGACUUUCUCCGAGUAUGCACUAAACGUCGCACUCGGGGACUUAGCUGCGAUCAAGAAUCGCCUAAGUACUGACUUUCUCCGAGUGUGCACUAAACGUCGCACUCGGGGACUUAGCUGCGAUCAAGAAUCGCCUAAGCACUAACUUUCUUCGAGUGUGCACUAAACGUCGCACUCAGGGACUUAGCUGCGAUGAAAAAUUGCCUAAGUACUAACUUUCUCCGAGUGUGCACUAAACGUCGCACUCGGGGACUUAGCUGCGAUCAAGAAUCGCCUAAUNNNNNNNNNNNNNNNNNNNNNNNNNNNNNNNNNNNNNNNNNNNNNNNNNNNNNNNNNNNNNNNNNNNNNNNNNNNNNNNNNNNNNNNNNNNNNNNNNNNNUUGUAGAGUCUGUAUGCUCCGUUGUUCAGCACCUUGGAGAUGAUGAAGGGUCCUUCCCAGGCAGGAGCCAGCUUGUGAGGUCUUUGCUGAUCCACUCGGAGCACCAGGUCGCCUGCUUGGAACGUGCGACUCCUGACGUGGCGUGCGUGAAAGCGCCGCAGAUCUUGUUGAUAAAUGGUUGAACGAGUCAGAGCCAUCUCGCGCUCCUCCUCUAGAAGGUUCACUCCGUCUUGCCUCGCUUGUUCUGAUUCAGCUUCGGAGAAGAGCUCGACUCAUGGAGCAUUGUGAAUCAAGUCACUCGGAAGGACUGCUUCUGCUCCGUAAACGAGGAAGAACGGUGAUCGCCCUGUAGAUCUGUUCGGGGUUGUGCGGAGACCCCAAAGUACUGAAGGUAGCUCGGUGACCCAUACGCCAGCGGCAUGUCCCAUCUCUCGCAGGAGUCGGGGCUUCAAACCUUGCAGAAUAAGUCCAUUUGCCCGCUCUGCUUGUCCGUUUGAUUGAGGAUGCGCCACGAAUGCAAAAUCCACUCAGAUACCAUGGCUUGCACAGAAACCUUUGAAUCUGUCCGAGUCAAAGUUUGUUCCGUUGUCUGUGAUUAUGCUGUGAGGUACCCCGAAUCGGAAGAUGAUAUCCCUGACAAACUUGAUGGCUGUGAUGCUUUGGCGACGAUCGCUCUCGAAGAUCGCUUUGGCGACGAUCCCAGAAGAAACCAGCUCUGAAUGCUUUGGCGACGAUCGCUCUCGAAGAGGCGUGAUGACCGCAGGUUCCCGAGUGAAUUUCUUCCAAGAUUAGCUGCCCCUCCUCUGGGGAGAUGCAUCGUUGAAGAACGCCUGAAACACUUUCCUUGUAUAAUUGACCAUCAAUGACAGUGAAUGACUUCGACCUGCGGACUAUCUGCCUGGCCUGGACUUCGUCUUCUGGUAAUUCCUGCCUCAGGAUAUAUGCAAUGAUCGGCACAGUCCAAUCGGGGAUGACAGCAAGAAUCUCCAUGACCAGAUCAACCACAGCAGGUACAUCGACUUCAGUCGGAUCUGUUGAACUCUUUGGUUGUACUAGUUCCUCUGUGAAAGGAUCUUCUUUGACCGAGGGAAGGUGGAGGUGCUCGAGGCAGACGUCACUCGGGACUGGUCUCCGAGUGGAUUCGAGUUUUGCCAACUCAUCAGCUGCUUGGUUCUUCAGUCUCGGAACAUGGUGGAGUUCUAGACCUUCAAACUUCUUCUCAAGCUUCCUCACUGCAUUGCAGUAUGUGGUCAUGGUGGGGUUCCUGACGUCCCACUCUUUCAUCACUUGAUUGACCACCAAAUCCGAAUCGCCGUAGACCAUCAGGCGACGGACGCCGAGUGAGAUGGCCAUGCGCAAUCCAUAGAGGAGAGCUUCAUACUCUGCCUCGUUGUUGGAGGAAUCAAAGUGUAUCUGCAGCACGUACUUGAGUUUGUCGCCCUUUGGCGAUAUGAUCACAACGCCAGCGCCGGAGCCAUUCAACAUCUUGGACCCAUCGAAGAACAUUGUCCAAUGGGCCGAGUAGAUGUGGGUCGGUUGCUGUUGUUCUACCCAUUCUGCUAUGAAGUCAGCCAGAGCUUGAGACUUAAUAGCUUUCUUGGCCUCGAACUUGAUAUCGCAGUACAACAUCUCCAUUGCCCACUUCGCCACUCGGCCUGACGUGUCCCGAUUGUGGAGGAUUUCCGACAACGGAGCAUCAGAAACGACAGACACCGAGUGGUCUUGGAAAUAAUGGGCCACCUUCUUCACAGUCAUGUAAAUCCCGUAGAUAAGUUUUUGAUAGUGGGGAUACCUCUGCUUGGAAGGAGUCAGGACUUCGGAGACGUAGUACACUGGCCGCUGAACUUUGUAUGCUUUGCCUUCUUCUUCUCGUUCGACUGUAAGAACAGUGCUGACGACUUGAUUUGUAGCCGCGAUAUACCGAAGAAGGGGCUCUUUACUGAGUGGAGCAGUAAGAACCGGAUGGGUGGAAAGUAGGACUUUGAGGUCGUCGAAUGCGACUUGGGCUUCGUCUGUCCACUUGAAAGUAUCUGAUUUCUUCAUGAGUCGGUACAGAGGAAGCGCUUUCUCGCUGAGUCGACUGAUGAACCUGCUCAAAGCCGCUAGGAAACCCGUGAGCCGUUGAACAUCAUGUAAUCUGACCGGCCUCUCCAUUCGGACUAUGGUCCCAAUCUUUUCGGGGUUGACAUCGAUCCCUCGUUCAAAAACGAAGAAACCGAGUAACUUUCCGCUGGGAACGCCGAAUGAGCAUUUGGCGGGGUUGAGCUUGAAAUCGUACCUACGAAGGUUGGCGAAUGUUUCUGCCAAGUCAGUCAGCAGGUCGGAACCUUUGCAUGACUUGACUACGGUAUCAUCCAUAUACGCCUCCACAUUCCGACCGAUCUGGUCGAGGAGGCAUUUUUGGAUCAUGCGCAUAAAGGUAGCUCCUGCAUUCUUCAAACCGAAUGGCAUAGUGAUGUAGCAGAAGCACCCGAAUGGGGUGAUGAAGGCUGUUUUUAAUUCAUCGGGGCCAUACAGACGGAUCUGAUGAUAGCCCGAGUAGGCAUCGAGAAAUGACAAACGUUCGCAGCCCGCAGUCGAAUCGACAAUUUGAUCGAUGCGGGGGAGCGGAAAAUGGUCUUUCGGGCAGACCUUAUUGAGGUGCUUGAAGUCGAUGCACAUUCGGAGCGACUUGUCCUUCUUGGGCACCAUGACAACAUUGGCGAGCCACUCGGAGUGGUGAACCUCGCGAAUGAAGUUGGCUGCCAGCAGCUUGGCCAACUCUUCCCCGAUUGCCUUCCUCUUGUGCGCGGCGGACCGGCGCAGGCAUUCUCGGACGGGCCGAGCGGUGGGAUCCACAUGCAGUCGGUGCUCAGCCAACUCCCUGGGUACACCUGGCAUGUCAGAGGGUCUCCAUGCGAAGAUGUCCCAGUUCUCACGGAGGAAUUGGGUGAGCUCGGCUUCCUAUUUAGGAUCGAGGGUGGUGGAGAUGUUCGUCGGGGCAGCAGUGUCGUCCGUCGAGUGGAUGCUGACCUUCUUCGUCUCUCCCGCCGACUGGAAUGCAGACUCUGAAGCUGGCUUCUUCGAGCGCAUCAGGUCAGCGGGGUCGACCGUUUUCUUGUACUCGUCGAGCUCGAGGACGGCCAUCUGUUGGUCGGCGAUUCUUGAUCCCUGCUGCAGACACUCUUUGGCCCGCUGUCGAUUGCCCGUGAUGGUGAUCACACCUUUCGGGCCUGGCAUCUUUAGCUUCAGGUAUACGUAACACGGACGGGCCAUGAAACGCGCAUACGCUGGGCGGCCCAGAAUUGCAUGGUAAGCGCUCUGGAAGUCCACCACUUCGAACGUCAGCUUUUCCUUACGGAAGUUCUUGUUGGAGCCGAAAACGACGUCCAACAAGAUCUGGCCGAGUGACUUGGCCUUCCGUCCAGGGACGACUCCAUGGAACUGCAUGCUGCUCUCGCUGAGUUUGGACAUCGGAAUGCCAUCCCCUUGAGAGUGUCGGCGUACACGAUGUUCAAGCCGCUGCCGCCAUCCAUGAGGACUUUGCGCAGUCGGGCUCCUUCCACCACCGGGUCGACGACUAGAGCCUGUCUCCCUGGGGUGGGUACGUGUGCUGGAUGAUCCGACUGGUCAAAGGUGAUCGCAGUCUGAGACCAUUUGAGGAACUUGGGGUUGGUAGGGGUGGCCAUGUUCACCUCCCUGUUCACCAGCUUCAGUCGACUCUUGUUCUCGACGUCAGCAAAAAUCAUCAGUGUUGCAUGGACUUGGGGGAACGGAUCCUCCUUAUCCUCCUCAUCCUGUUCAUUGUCCUUUUCACUCGGUUGCCCUUCGCCGAACCCCUGGAUCAGGAGGCGACACUGUCGAGUGGUGUGCUUUGGAUAUACGGGGUUGCCCUCUUCAUCCAUCUUCGUAUGAACUGGACAUGGUUGGUCCAGGAUGGGAUUAUUGAACUGCUUCUUCUUGGGGGUAAACUGCACCUUCCCUUUGCCCUUGAACUUGGCAUUGGUUACGGCUGCAGCUUCUGCCUGCGGAGUGGACGGAGCUUUCUGCUUCUGCUUCCGAGUGUUACUCCCAUCUCCAUCACCGACUGUCUUGUGCUUGCCGCUUCGGAUGCGGUCCUCUUCUUCGCCAUUUGCAUAGCGUGCUGCUAUCUCCAUCAUCUUGCUCAUGGAGAUGUCACCUGUUCGGCCGAAAUUUAGGUACAGAUCCCUGUACCGCACGCCUGCCUUGAAGGCGCAGACUACUUGAUGCUCGGUGACGUUCUCCACCGUGUGGUAGAGAGUUGUCCAACGCUGAAUGAAGUCACGCAGGGGCUCAUUCUGCUUCUGGACGCAAUGCUGGAGCUCCACGAGGCCCGCAGGGCGCUUGCACGUCCCUUCGAAGGUCCUGAUGAACACUCGGGCCAAAUCUGCCCAAUUGUAGAUGCUUGAGGGGGCCAACUGGUUCAGCCACGCUCGCGCCGACCCGUCGAUCAUCAGAGGGAGGUGCUUCAUCGCGACAUGGUCGUCUCCUCCUCCGAUCUGGACUGCCACUCGGUAAUCAUCCAGCCACGUUUCUGGCUUGGACUCUCGUGUAAACUUGCUGAUUCCCGUCGCCAAUCGGAAGUUGGGCGGGAUGUCAGCCGAACGGAUGGCUCGACUGAAACACUCGGGGCCGGACACGAUGGUCCUGCUUCCACUCGAACGGUCCAUAUCGUAACCAUCACGGUGGGCUCGGCCCCUGUCGACCCUUCGUUGGGCGAUACGCCCUCUUGCGUCGGGCCUUGGGUCGUAAGUGUCACCGACUGAACGCCGAUCAUCAUGAUGUCGGGGCCCGUAGGGCCCACCCCGCGGAGGGGUGCGUGAACGGCGACGAUCUUCGGGAUUUAUGGAACGGCUGCCUCUCCUGUGUCGCUGAUGGGAACCAGGGCUAUGAACUGACCGAUGCGUAUUCGCAUGAACAGAACUAUUGUGGAUCAUGUUGUACGACUGGGAAACAACCGAAUUUUGCUGCUGCGCCGUGUGCAGCAGGGCGCGGAUUUGCUCGAUCCCCUUGCCAGCCUCUGAAUCUGUCGGCUGAAGGGAAUCAGCUAUCUUGGCAGCCGCAGCCAAGUUGAGGAGAGGUGUGCGGAACAACUCCACGUUGCUCCGCCGAGUGUGCCGACUAGCAGAACGGCGAGGUGGACGACGCGCGCCGGACGUUUCGCCGACCUCGUGCUCGUUCCGGCCAGCUUGACGGGGAUCUUCAUGGGAGUUGGCCAUGUGUACUUCUGCUGCAGGCCCGCGACCCGCAUACUCGGAAGGAAACUCAGUUGGAACCGAGUCCGAGCGCUGGGACAGCGGGGCAACCACAACGGACUCUAGAACCGCCACUUGUGAAGACGCGUUCUGGCGCGCCUGGGCGUGUUGCACCCAACGCUGGAGCCGCGGACGGCGAGACCGCUUGCUGCGGCGCGUGACGGCGGUGUAGGUCGACACCGGAGCCGACUGUUGGAGAAGAAGAAUGCCGCGGGCGCCGGCACGAAAGUGCGUAGCCCCACGGUGGGGAAGCGCCUCGACGUCGAGAGGGGCGUCCCGAAGCCACGCCGAAUCGUCGACGAUGAAGGAGAGAGCGCCGAAGAAGAUCUGGUGACCCAUGCUCGAAUCUCCACCGGACGACAUGAUGAAAGGAAGUAGUCGCAAACUUGCCGGGAGUCGCUUAGACGCCUGCCCCAUGGUGGGCGCCAACUGUCGUGGGUAUAAGUCUGACAGUAGAUGUGUAGGGUACGAAAAGGAUGGGCAGAGCCUUAGCUACAACGAGGUUGUAUGAGUUCAGGCCCCUCUGCGGUGGAGGUAAUAGCCCUACGUCUCAAUGCUUUGGGAGCUUGUUGUCGAGUGGAAUAUGGAAUACAAAUGAGUUGCUAAACCCCUGCACCAGUGGGGGAGGGUGGAUUAUAUAGAGUGCGCUGCCCUCCACAACGGUUCGGUGCACAGGGGUGGAGUAGUGGCGAAUAAAUGCCUACGUUACAGGUAACGUACGUCUUAAAUGCUAAUAAAGGCGUGUGGAAACGUAUGGCCGUUUCCCCCCAGGGGGGUUACGAUGCACAGAGUGGAAUCCAGUCGGUUAGUUUGAUAUACUCCGAAUGCUCAUCUCCGACUGGAUGGUCGAAGAUCUGUUACCGACUGGAUGAUGGGAACUUCUUAGUUCAGUCGGAACUGACUAAGGGCCUUGUCCCUUAUGAAGGGUAGUCCUUGGGUAGGACCUACAGGGCAGGCCUAUGACCCUACCCUAGGACUAUAACCCCAUCACCUUGGAAGUAAAAAAGCAAGCAAGCACAUCAUCUAUGGGCCUAUGGGAAAGAAGUUAUCAAGCAACACUGACCCCUCAUCAGGCCAACAGUAUGAGUUGCCCAGAAAUACAGGGAACCAGUUGUGUGUUGUCAAACAGGAAAAAAGUUCAAAUCAGAGCACGUCAGCUGUGAUCACAAGCUAAGAGUCUUUUCCACUUAAUAUGACACAAGUUAUACCGCAAGAAUACAGGAAAACAAUACAUUUCAGAUUCAGAAAAUGUGGCACAUAUAUUGCCACUUGAGAGUCAGAACUAAAUUGCAAGAAUUUUGUAUACCAAUGGUAUCAUUUUGAUUGACCAAAACCAAACUAAAUGCUAUAAGCAACGGAUAAUAGAGAACCAAAAUUCAAUCACAUACCGGGUUGUUUCUUGAAUCUUGGUAGGUUUGUGCUUACAGGGAAGGAGGACAAAUCUCAGACAUGGUGAUGCAAACGAAUCAGGUGAAGGAGACGAUGACCCAACCCCACAUGAGGCUAGCCGGCCCUUACUAGAGGAUGCUACUAUACAACGGCAUGAUCUCCGUGAAGAGUGUCAUCGUGGAGAAAGAGAUGCCAGUCUGCAGCUAGCACCUGCAACGAAAGAUCACCAUCUCUUGAGACAUCGAAAAAAUAAGACCGGCAAAACGAAACACAGUUCACAAGCCAGUCAUGCAUGAUGGCAUCACGUUUCUACACACGAAGAAAAUAGCCAACGCCGUCACAGUUUUACCAAAACACACAAUGUAACCAGCAUCUCCACAAGUGUCACACAAUGUAACCAGCAUCUCCACAAGUGUCAAUUUCUCUUUGCUGUUGCUGGUUAGUACAUCUUUGCCACAAAUACCACCUAUACACAGCCAAUACAAAGUCAUUUUACAGGGUAGAAAAAAUGGAAGGAAAUGAUAACGUACAUACCAUCUCUCCUCCACGGUUCUUGCUUGUAGCCGAGCUUAUUGAGGCGCUUCUCACUGGAGUCCACCUCAAUCUAGCACAUUGCUACUCUCUAGGCUCGGACCAGCACAUCGAAAUCCUUCUCCUCAGUCCCAGCAUGACACCACCGCCGCUCCACCCCCUUAGCAACACGACAACGGCGCUCCCAUCUUCAGUGCCCUCAACAAGAGUUGGCGGCUAGGGUUAGCACCAGGGGAGCGACGAGGAGGUGUUGGGGAUCGAUGGGGGAGACAAGGGUGGAUCCACGCGAUUGGGGCCCAUGCGAGAGUUGGAUGGAGUUGGUCAGAAUCUGAGGCGGGGCGGCGGCUCCUCUUGGAUCUUGGCGGUGGCGAAGGGCUCCAUUGGGCGUACUUGAUGACGACCUAUACGAUACCUCCUCUAGUCCCUUGCCGCAACCUAGAAGGUCCACGACGGCGGCGCGCGAGUGGAUUCCCUUGGGGAUGAUGACGAUGGCGGCGGCGUAAGGACCCGUUAUGCGAUCGAUGGCUAGGUCCCCUCGUCGCUGAGAUGCGAUCCAGGGAUCCCUCGCUAGAGAUGUGAAGAUUUCUUUUCGCGUGCAUGGGGCAACGGGUUUUUCCGUAGUGGGGGUUGGGUUUUUUUUGUAGCGAUGUGUGAUCCGUACGAGCGUGAGGGAACUUUAUGUGAACGCGAGGGGGAGACGAAAAAAAAAACAUUCGGUGGUGGGAGGAGAGACGGAAAAAAACCCGGUGAACGCCGGCUACCAACUGCCCCUUUAGGAGUAGAGAUUAUGUGAACGUCGACUAUAUAUUUAGGCCUAGAGGAGGCAUUGUGAAAUUAGUUUGUAGAUGAUGGAUUGCGGGCAUGAUAGAACUCUAAACCCGAGUUUAUGAAUUGUCUCGUGAGAGCUGUUUUGGAUCCGCAUCUUUAAUGCUAUGAUUAGUUUUAUCUUAAUUAUUUUUCUUGUAUUUGCGGAUGUUUGUGUUGAUGGUAUAAUAAUAAAUAUGUAUUUGUACAAGUAUGAGCAAUACCAGAACACUUAUCAAGACAAUGGAUGCGAAGUCAAUGAAUCGUGUCCUCACAAGCAAUUUUAUCACUAUAAGAAGUAUCGCUGAUUUGUCCUUAGCAUACUUAAGGAUCGGGCCAUUUGCUGCACCUUGAUACUUUGUUACUUGUUACUUGUUAUCAAUUACCUUACUAUUAAACUAUUUAUCAAAACCAAUCUUACAACACUUGCAUGGAAUACCUUACUUAGAACCGCAUAUCAAUUCCUUGUGCUCCUCACUCACCGAAAGGACUCAGCACUCCCUUGAAGCGUAGCGAGUGGGCUGACCCAACAACUUGCUUUCUUUCCGAAUUUCCAUUUUCUUUUGAUUUUGUUUUUUCUUUAUUUUCUCUUUUACUUCCCUUUUCCUUUCAUUUUUUGAAAGUAUUAAUCCCACAUUUAAAACAUUGUUAAUAAAGUAUUCUUAAAGCGUCAAAAGAGUAUAAAAAUGUUUCUUAUGUAUUGAGGAAAAUGUUAAUCAGGUAUUCAAAAAAUGUCGAACAAAUAUAAUAUAUUUUUACUGAUGUAUUAAAUAAAUCAGUUUUUUAAAGAAAGUAGACACCAAAACAUAUUUCUAAAAACGAUAGUCAUGUAUUUGAAAAAUAUUAAACUUGUGUAACAAAAUGUUUCUGAUGUAUACAAAAAAUGUACAAUGUGCAUGAAAAGCAUUGUCAUCAAAACAUAUAUUUGUCAAGUGUUAAUCAUCUACCAUGAAAAAACCAUUAAUCAUCUAUUGAAAAACCUCAAAUGCACCUAGUUUUAUUAUAUGAGUGUAAAAAAUAUUCCUAAUGUAUUCAAAAAAGGUAUGAGAUGUAUUAAAAUUCUUUUAUACAACAAUACAUAUAUUUAAAAAUAUAUUAAUCAAGUGUUUAAAAAUGUUAAACUUGCAUAAUGUGUACGAAAAAGUUGUAUAUACGAACAAUUAUAUAUGUGUAUGAGAAAGAGUUGUCCUCAAAACAAUCUAAAAUGUACACGAACAAUCUAAAAUGUGUAUGAGAAAGAGUUGUCCUCAAAACAAUCUAAAAUGUAUACGAACAAUCUAAAAUGUGUAUGUGAAAGAGUUGUCCUCAAAACAUAUAUUUGGAAAUAUGUCAAUCAUAUAUGUAAAAAGGCUACUCCAAAUGUUAUAAAAACAAUAUUCCUGAUGUACACAAAAAUAUACAAUGUGUAUGAAAAAGGAUAAGAAAGCAAAGAAAACUAAGAUUAAACAAAGAAAACGGAAGAUUUUUUUUUUGGAAAAACAACAGUAAACAAAACUGAAACAAAUCAUGCAACACAGUGGAACAUAGUGGAAAAAAAACAAGUAAGAAAAAAAUAAAAUUAAUCAAAUAAAAUAAAGAUAAAACAAAAUAACGAUGCAAAAUAGUGGAACAAUGUGUGGGAAAACAAUAGAAACCAGCAUUAUAAGCGCUAAAUAGGAUUCUGCGUCAAAACGUUAGGGAAAAUCCAAUUCUUCGCAUUUUGUGGCAAAGGCUCCGCACAUCCCCGACUUGAGUUGGGCCAGGCCAGCUUUGCUUAACCACCGGUUUGGAAAGCUUCUAGGAGGUUCCCCGAUUUGUUUUUUGUUUUUUCGUUUUCCUGUUUCUAUUCUUUCCUUCUUUUUUUGUCUUCUCUUUCUUCUUGUUCCUUUUUUCCUAGGUUAUUUUGAUUUUUUAAACUAUGUUCAUGUUCGAAAAUUGUUCUUAAAAUUCCUAAAUAUUCUAGCUUUUAAAAAUUUAUUCUAAAUUCCAAAUAAUUGCUGUUUUUAAACUAUGCAUAACUUCGAAACAUGUCCCAGGUUUGCACAAAAUGUUCGAUAUUUUCCAAAAGUAUUCGGGCUUUUCAAAUAAUAAUAUAUUUUUUUCAUAAAAUGUUCUUGUUUCUCAAAAAAUGUUAUUGUUUCUGUUUUCAAUUUUUACCUUUCCUGUUUUCACUUUUACUAUUCCUUUUGUUUGACAUUUACAAAUUUUAUUUUUGAAUUUCAUAAAACGUUCUUGUGUUGAAAAUUUUGUUCAGUAUUUAUAUUUAAAUGUUCAUGCUUCAAAAAAUAAUCAUUAAUUGCAAAAAAUGUUCCUCUUUCAAAAUGUAUUCAUAUUUCAAAAAUGUUUUUGUGACAAAAAUUGUUUUUGUAUUAAAAAAUGUAUGGUUCUUUAAAAUAUUCCGUAUUAAAAAAUUCAUAGAUUGAUGAAAAUGUUUUUGUUUUAAAAAAAAUACUAUUUUAUUAUAAUAUUUGUGUUUGAAAAUUUGUUCCCCUCUUUAAAAUUUGUUCACGACGUUCAUAAAUGUGUCCAAGGAUUUCAUAAAAAAAUCUCCUUUUUAUAUUUUGUUCAGAGAUUUAAAAUCAUGAAAUCAUUUUGUGAAGCACCCAAGCAAAUGUGAAAAGACGAACAUUUUUAAAAAAUCUCGAACAUUUAGAAAUCCCGAAUUGAUUUUAGAGUUAUGUAUACUUUAUGAGAGGUGUACAGUUUUUUAGAUAUGCAUUUUUAUUAAAUAAUAAUAAUAGGAACAUUUUUUGAGUAUCUAAACAUUUUUGAAAUUUUUAUUUUUUUGAAAUUUUGAAGAACGAGAAAGAAUAGUAAAAGGAAUAAAAAAUAAAAGAAGUAACAAAAAAAUAUCAGAAACAGCUACUGUACCCGCACACCUACUCGGCGACUGAAAUAAUUAAUUGAAGAGUACAUAUUUCAAAAAUCACUCCCACCUCCCAGAUUGCGACAAAUGGUGCACUGCAUGUGUGCCACUUAUUGCAACUUGAAAAUUUCUUUUUCAUAUAUUCGUAUUUUAAAUCCGUAUUAUUUCAUAAACCGUGCGUUCAUAUCUACAACCAUUUUCAUCAUUUGAUUUUUCGUGUCGAGAUGAUCAAAACUAGAUUCAAUGUUUAUAAGUUUUGAUGAAUAUUUUUUCACAAACAAAAUCGGACACGGACGUUUUUUUUUCCUUUUUCCGAGAGGCACACGCCAAGGUAAAACCGUUACUCUCACAAAGCAAACUCGUGCCUCUCGCGAAAACAAACCAUACUUCUCACACAGAAAAAUAGAAAACAUGUUCCUUUUGUUUUCGAGAGUUACGGGCAUGCCUCUCACAAAGACAAAAUCGUGCCCCUCGCAAAAAAAAAGUAAAUACGUUCUUUUUGCAAUUUUUUCCGUAAUAAAACUAAGAAAGACACAUAAAAACUGAAAGGCAAAAAAAUAAAAAAGUAAAUAAAAAAGCUAAAUACAUGUACGAAAAAAAUUAAAAAAACGAAAUUAAAAAAAUGCGUUUAAAGCACGACAUGCGUUGGCUGCUGAAAAAGCACCAUGUAACGGAUGGUGAAACGCCCUUGCUAAGUAGUUUCUCUCAGGGCAAAUUCUAUUUAGCGCCUCAGGCGCCGGUCAUAGGCAAUUUCUUAGUCAUUUUCCUCUUUUCCUUUUCAUCCAGGUUCGUUGAUUUCUUUUUGGAAAUAUGUGUAUUUUAUUUUAAAUCGAUUAUUUCGGAAAUUCGAUUGAAUCUUUUUUUAAUUCAUGAACUUUUUUCCAAAUCGAUGAACUCUUUUUCGAAAUUGGUAAACAUUUCUGAAAAUCCAUGAACAUAAUUUAAAAUUCGUGAUUUUUUUUCUAAAUCGAUGAACUUUUUUUGAAAUUGGUAAACUUUUUUUCAAAAUCAGUGAACAUAUUUUAAAUUUUGUGAACUUUUAGAAAAAUCAAUGAAUUAUUUUGAAAAAUUAAUAAACUUUUUUAAAAAUCUGUGAACUUUUAUAAAAAUCUGUUAACAUAUUUUAAAAUUCUUGAACUUUUUCAAAAUCAAUAAACUAUUUUUAAAAAUUGAUGAACUUUUGUUUUCCAAAUCAAUGAUUUUUUUUUCGAAUUUUGUAAUCUUUUUUAAAAUCCAUAAACAUAUCCUAAAAAUCUGUGAAUUUUAUUGCAUAAUGAUUGGCCUUUUGAAUAAUCUGAUUAGUUGCUUUUUAAUUCGAAUAAAUUUUAAUGUAUGUUUUAGAAUUCACGUUUUCAAAAAUUAAUAAAAAAAUUCAGCGCCUGCAGCGGAGCGUCAGGAAAUGUUUCGUGGGCCGGUCCAGCGGAGGCGCUGCACGCGCCAGAAGCGUGAACUGACGCCUGCAGCGCCGUACAGGAGCUCCCUGCUCUCAGCCCCGCCUGGUUGCUGUAGUUAGCGGAAAACCCUAUUUGCCGUUCUGUGCGAAGCGGUGUCUAGGCUUCGCACAGAGCUGGCGGGGGCCCAGAUAGCGUGGUUGCCGUGCCAGGUUUUGGGAACCUCUAAUCGAUUUUUUUCGGUUUUGGAAACUUUUAGAAGGUUCUGUGAACCUUUUUUUCUUUUUCAUUUUCUUGUUUGUUUCUGUUUUUGUUUCAAAAUUGUUCUGAAUUUUGAGAAAAUGUUCCGGAAUUUGAAAAACGUUGAUGAUUUUGAAAAAAUAUUCCAGAAUUUGGAAAAUGUUUCGGAAUUCGAAAAAAUGUUCUGGAAUUCAAAAAAAUGUUCAGGAAUUUCAGAAAAUGUUCCGGAAUUCGAAAAAAUGUUCCGGAAUUUGAAUUUUUUUCCGGAAUUUGAAAAAAUGUUCCAAAAUUGGAAAAAUGUUUUGCAAUUUUUAUCUAAAUUUUCCGGAUUUUUCAUAAAAAUGUUCCGAAAUUGUACAAAAUGUUACGUAAUUCGAAAACAUGUAGAAUUUUCGAAAUCAUGAAAACCAUUCUGAAAUAUACGAAUAAGUUUUGAAAACAAAAUAUUUUUCAGUAUAUGAAUAAAUUUCAUUAUCGCUAACAGUUUAAAAUAGUAGACGAAACUGCAGAAACGCGCGCGAGACCUAUAAAGCCCGCCAGGGAGACGCCUCUGUGCAAAAGGACAGCACAACUCGUCAUAUAGGACCUCCCGUAGUUAGCGGCACGGCAUCGCCACGAGGUAUUUGAUAGAGGCCCACGAGGUAUUACUUGCGUGGGAUUUCUGUCUAUGUAAAGUACCAACGCCCCCCUCAAAAAAAGAGAAUACUUUCCCAUUUCUCCUUUUUGCCAACACUUCGCAGUUCGAGCUCGCAGAGAGAGAGAGAGAUGUGCCACUCGCCGUCGGGAUCACGCGCGACGGCGCGGUCGGGCAGGGCGGAGGAGCUCGCCGACGCGGCAACGGAGGAAGGCGGAGAGUCGAACCUCUCCGCGCUCCUCUACGGUACGCGCACCUAAAACCCUAGCACUCCCGUCUUUGUUGUGGUGCUUGUUCGGUCGCCUCGCUCUCCGGGUUUGCUCGUCGCAGUCGCGCGAGUUCGUGCUCAGGGCGUGUGGUUCCUUAGGUUUUACAGACCAGUUUGCCAUCGAAUCGAGGCGAUUCGACACUACAUUGGGAGCGCAGGACAUCCAGCUAUUUUAGAUUACGGGGACUAGUUUGAUUUGGGGGAAGGGGAUCAAAUCCCGUGUCUUGCAUUGUUUGAAUCGAUGGGAGACAUCGAUCGGCAUCGCGUGUUUAUAAUUGCAGUUUGGUGCUAAUACAGAGUAUUGUUUUUAUUUAGUUUCCCCAUUCCGAUUCGAUAUAUCCAGACCAGUUUGGUUUGUUUAUUUCAUCCGAGUCAUUUCUUUUAUUUAUUAAAGCAAUUCGGACCAACAGUUUCAGAUUCGCGAAAUUGGAGUGAGACAUCGCCGGUGAGAAUCGCCACUACUUCAUAUGUGUAGGUCGUUUGCUAGAUUCCAGAACACAUACGCACCAUACACAUGAGCGUACAUCUGCUCGCCCAUUGUUUGCAAACCAAUACUGGAAUUUCUGACGGCAUGCUGUAUUGCGACUUGCUCCCAAUUCAUUUUUCCUUCUCUAGUUCUCUUUUUUCCUGAUUCCAGUUUUGACACUUUAUAAUUUGUAGAUUUCAGUUAGCAGCAUCAUAUUUCCAAAUAAGGGGAAUGAACCUUCUGUACAGAUCAACUCUACUUGAUGUGCGGUGUGCAUAUCUAACUUGUUAGGUUGAUAGAUUCCCGGACUAGAAGCCUAGCCUGACCUCACUUACACUCCUUCUCAAAGGAUCAUCAUAUUUAAUCUCCAUAACAUUGCCACUUUGGAGGAUCUUCAUUUGCCUCUAUCAGUAGAAGCUUUUGCACAAUUUCAAGAGAUGAUUAAUGAGUUGCAGGCUCUGGAGCUCUCUAUUGAGCAUGUUUUAAGGCAGCUUCCUGCAGGUGCUUCCACACAUUCAGUUUCUAAGGCAUACAGGCUUCUUACACCUGAAUAUGAGGUCCUGCCUGUUCUGAAAUAGCUAUGGAAAACUGUUGCCAAUUGAAACAUUUUUCUUCUUCUUUUGGUUUCUCAUUCAGAACAGACUCAACACUAGGGUUAUGCUCCAGAGGAAGAAUUUCUUCAUUGAAGGUUACACUUGUGUAAUGUGUGGCACGCAGGUGUUAAAAGCGAGAGAUCACCUUCUUGUGCAUUGUCCUUUUGCUCAAGCGUGUUGGUCUUAUCUCUGCCCCACCUGGCUGCUAUCCUAUCAAGGGGUACAACAUGAGUUUGAUCAGCUCUGUCGGAGUUUGGGAUCUGCGUCCAAGAACCCCUUCAAAAACUAGGGUUUGAACACUAGGGGGCUUUGCUUGGCAACCUAAGACCCGACGACAACUACGGUGAGGCCACGACGAGCGCGCUCACUCAUACCGGACAUGACGGGGACGCACGAGCUACGCAGGUUCAGGCCACCAUGCGGUGUAAGACCCUACUCCUGCCUGUGUUGGAUUGCUCCGUAAUGGGGAGCUUGUGGCUCGAGGUACACGAGGAGUGGGGGAGAAUGAUUUGAUCCCCUUACAUGGACGUGGCCCUGCGUGCCUUGGUCAUCUUCCCUGAAAAUAUGAGCGGGAAAGGGUGGCCAUAGGGCGGCAAUUCCAAAGGGGACAAGCGCCCUGGUCUAUCCUGACUAAAGGUGGUCUCUGCCUCAUGAAGCAGUCAUGCUGACGUGCCGGUGGACUCGGCGAUGACCUCCAUCCUGACACGCCGAUCCGUCCCGAUCUCCUUGCACCAAAGAGGAAACCUUUGGGACUUGCUUUGGGGUUGGCAGACGCCGUUGCUCCCUUAUCACCAGAAUGGAAACUGACUUCAGUCAUGCCCUGUCGUCCUCAUCCUGACAACAGGACGUCAUCCAUGUGAUGGGCGCGGCUGGCGCCGUACGACAUGCUUCGUGAGGCGGCUCGCGAGGCGAUCUGGUUGGUGGCCUCCGGAGCGGCCGCGCCCAAGCCAUCCUCCGCGAGCCGGCCCAACUGUCGCCUCUUGGGACGGAAGCAGAGGGGUCGUGGUACCUCGAUUCCCACUAGUCCAACAGUAGCCCCCGGGCCCGCGUCAUGCACGUUCCGUCUGUUAGGAACGAAACGACGCGGGGCCUAUCGAGUUGUCGGGCCCAAAGGCGACGCGUGGCGGCUUUUCCGGGCAUGGCACCUCCACUUGCCACAACGCCUCAAUAAUCGCCGCAUCAGCAAUAAAGUCGGCCCGCGCGGGGCGCAGACACACCAUUGCUCCUUCACCCUGUCCUCGGUCUUCCUUGCGACUAACUCUCCGGCUUCCCCCUUUGUCUCCAACUUCCAAUAUCCGUCACGACCGUCGCGGCCAUGGCUCCCAACAGGAAGCUCUCUGCAACUGGAAGAGCGAAGGGAGCGGUUGAGGUGGUGGAAAGCCGUAGCCAACGUCGGCGAGGAGCAGAGUCUGGGGCCGUGCUUUGGCCGCGGCGACGACGGUUCCCUCCGGGCUCUACGACCACCAUAGCGGAGGUCAACCCCAGUGUCCGUGGAACGUCCUCGACUCGAGGCCGCGGGCAUCGUGGUGCUCGCGGUUGUGGGGGGCGCGACGGAGCGUGCGCCCCCUCUCCCCUGGCUGAUGCCCACACGAUGGAGGUUGCGCACGAGUUCAUCGUGUGGCUGCACCGUCGGCCUUGCAGCUGGCUCCGGCUUUCGGAUUCCUUUGCGAGGGCGAUGGAGGACGGCGAGCCCUUGGGCCUGUGGUUUUAGGCGGACGGUUGAUGCAAUGGCCCCUUCUGGGUGGCGGUGAAGUUUUCCCUGGUCGGGUUCAUGUCCAUGGCUGGGGGUGGAAGUCGUUCGCCCGCUCCCACGACCUGCAGCGCGGGCAGAUCCUGCAGUUCAGGUACGACGAAGUCGCAACCCUCCUCGUGAAGUUCUUUGGGGUCGUCGACGACCGCGUGGAGUGCGAGAGCGGAAGCGGCUCCGACUCCUCCAACGGGAACGAAAGUGAUUGGAGCUCCCAGAGCGUCAAGAGCGAAGACGAGGAUUCAGUCUAGGCAAGGCCGACGCCUGGGGCGGACCCCUGAGGGUGAUUCCUUCCUUUUGGCCCUGCGGAAUCAAUGUAGCUCGGCGGGGCUUGAAAAUAUCUUGUAUGGCACUAUAUGUCUAACUACUUGAUGCCUCCUGUGUUUUUCGCUUUCCUCUCGAGGGCUUUCAUUCUCUUUUACGUUGCCUUUGUGCCCUACGUUGUUGGGACCCAACCCCCGAGGCGGGCUACAACUGUCGCUGGUAUGCCUAGAGUGUGCGCUCGGAAAAGCCAGAGGGUGUAGGGCUCUUAGGGCUGGUAGGAGUCCGUGAGGCGUGAUGCUCAGGGUCCCCCCCUUGACGCGCAGACUGCUCGUGCCAAGGAAACCAGGAUGCCUCGAGAGGGAGGAAAACCGAGGGGUGCUUUACACUUAGCUCCUUCGAGGUGUGCGGGUUGGAGCGAGUCCUCUGCAGGGAGCGGCUCGUGAGGCGCGGUUCCUCGCGAAGCCUUCUAUCGAGGGAUGGCGCUCGCGAGGCCUCCCGAGGGGGCUUAUCCUGCACUAGGAGUGAUGGGGUCAUAGUCCUAUGGUAGGUCAUAGGCCUGCCCUGUAGGUCCAACCCAAGGACUACCCCUCAUAAGGGACAAGGCCCUUAGUCAGUUCCGACUGAACUAAGGAGUUCCCUUCAUCCAGUCGGUAACAGAUCCUCGACCAUCCAGUCGGAGAUUAGCAUUCGGAGUUUAUCAAACUAACCGACUGGAUUCCACUCUGUGCAUCGUAACCCCCCUGGAGGGAAACGGUCAUACGUUUCCAUGUGCCUUUAUUAGCAUUUAAGACGUACGUUACCUGUAACGUAGGCAUUUAUUCGCAACUACUCCACCCCUGUGCACCGAGCCGUUGUGGAGGGCAGCGCACUCUAUAUAAGCCACUCUCCCCCACUGGUGCAGGGGUUAGCAACUCGUUGUAUUCCAUAUUCCACUCGACAACAAGCUUCCAGAGCACUGAGACGUAGGACUAUUACCUCCGUCGCAGAGGGGCCUGAACUCAUACAACCUCGCCGUAGCUAAGGCUCUGCCCAUCCUUUCGUACCCUACAUAUCUACUGUCAGACUUAUACCCACGACAGUUGACGCCCACCGUGGGGCAGGCGUCUAAGCGACUUUCCGGCGAGUUUGCGACUACAUCUUUUCGUCAUGUCGUCCGGUGGAGAUUCGAGCAUGGGUCACGAGAUGUUCUUCGGCGCUCUCUCCUUCAUCGUCAAUGAUUCGGCAUGGCUUCGGGACGCCCCUCUCGACGUCGAGGCGCUUCCCCGCCGCGGGGCUACGCAUUUCCGUGCCGGCGCCCGCGGCAUUUUUCUUCUCCAGCAGUCGGCUCCGGUGUCGACCUACACCGCCGUCACACGCCGCAACAAGCGGUCCCGCCAUCCGCGGCUCCAGCGUUGGGUGCAACACGCCCAGGCGCGCCAGAACGCGUCUUCACAAGUGGCGGUUCUAGAGUCGGUUGUGGUUGCCCCGCCGUCCCAGCGCUCGGACUCGGUUCCGACUGAGUUUCCGUCUGAGUACGCGGGUCGCGGGCCUGCAGCAGAAGUACACAUGGCCAACUCCCAUGAAGAUCCCUGUCAAGCUGGCCGGAACGAGCACGAGAUCGGCGAAACGUCCAGCGCGCGUCGUCCGCCUCGCCGUUCUGCUAGUCGGCACACUCGGCGGAGCAACGUGGAGUUGUUCCGCACACCCCUCCUCAACUUGGCUGCGGCUGCCAAGAUAGCCGAUUCCCUUCAGCCGACUGAUUUAGAGGCUGGCAGGGGGAUCGAGCAAAUCCGCGCCCUAUUGCACACGGCGCAGCAGUAAAAUUCGGCUGUCUCCCAGUCGCACAACAGGAUCCACAAUAGUUUUGUUCAUGCGAAUACGCAUCGGUCAGUUCACAGCCCUGGUUCUCAUUAGCGACACAGGGGAGGCAACCGUUCCAUAAAUCCCGAAGAUCGUCGCCGUUCACGCACCCCUCCGCGGGGUGGGUCCUACGGGCCCCGACAUCAUGAUGAUCGGCGUUCAGUCGGUGACACUUACGACCCAAGGCCCGACGCGAGAGGGCGUAUCGCCCAGCGGAGGGCCGACAGGGGCCGAGCCCACCGCGAUAGUUACGAUAUUGACCGUCCGAGUGGAAGCAGGACCAUCGUGUCUGGUCCCGAGUGUUUUAGUUGAGCCAUCCGUUCGGCUGACAUCCCUCCCAACUUCCGAUUGGCGACGGGAAUCAGCAAGUUUACAGGAGAGUCCAAGCCAGAAACGUGGCUGGAUGAUUACCGAGUGGCAGUCCAGAUCGGAGGAGGGGACGACCAUGUCGCCAUGAAGCACCUCCCUCUGAUGCUCGACGGCUCGGCGCGAGCGUGGCUGAACCAGUUGGCCCCCUCAAGCAUUUACAGUUGGGCAGAUCUGGCCCGAGUGUUCAUCAGGAGCUUUGAAGGGACGUGCAAGCGCCUUGCUGGCCUCGUGGAGCUCCAGCACUGCGUCCAGAAGCAGAAUGAGCCCCCUUCGUGAUUUCAUUCAGCGUUGGACAACUCUUUACCACACGGUGGAGAACGUCACAGAGCAUCAAGCAGUCCGCGCCUUCAAGGCAGGCGUGCGGUACAGGGAUCUGUACCUAAAGUUCGGCCGAACAGGUGACAUCUCCAUGAACAAGAUGAUGGAGAUAGCAGCACGCUAUGCAAAUGGCGAAGAAGAGGACCGCAUCCGAAGCGGCAAGCACAAGACAGUCGGUGAUGGAGAUGGAAGUAACACUCGGAAGCAGAAGCAGAAAGCUCCGUCCACUCCGCAGGCAGAAGCUGCAGCCGUAACCAAUGCCAAGUUCAAGGGCAAAGGGAAGGCUCAGUUCACCCCCAAGAAAAAGCAGUUCAAUAAUCCCAUCCUGGACCAGCCAUGUCCGGUUCAUACGAAGAUGGAUGAAGAGGGCAACCCCAUAUAUCCGAAGCAGACCACUCGACGGUGUCGCCUCCUGAUCCAGGGGUUCGGUGAAGGGCAACCGAGUGAAAAGGACAAUGAACAUGAUGAGGAGGAUAAGGAGGAUCUGCCCCCCCAAGUCCAUGCAACACUGAUGAUUUUUGCUGACGUUGAGAGCAAGAGUCGACUGAAGCUGGUGAACAGGGAGGUGAACAUGGCCAUCCCUAACAACCCCAAGUUCCUCAAAUGGUCUCAGACUACGAUCACCUUUGAUCAGUCGGAUCAUUCAACACACGUACCCACCCCAGGGAGACAGGCUCUGGUCGUCAACCCGGAGGUGGAAGGAGUUCGACUGCGCAAAGUCCUCAUGGACGUCGGCAGUGGCUUGAACAUCAUGUACGCCGACACUCUCAAGGGGAUGGGCAUUCCGAUGUCCAAACUCAGCGAAAGCAGCAUGCAGUUCCAUGGAGUCGUCCCUAGACGGAAGGCCAAGUCACUCGGCCAGAUCGCGUUGGACGUCGUUUUCGGCUUAAGACAAGAACUUCCGCAAGGAAAAGCUGACGUUCGAGGUGGUAGACUUCCAGAGCGCUUACCACGCAAUUCUAGGCCGCCCGGCGUAUGCGCGUUUCAUGGCCCGUCUAUGUUACGUAUACCUGAAGUUGAAGAUGCUAGGCCCGAAAGGUGUGAUCACCAUCACUGGCAAUCGACAGCGAGCCGAAGAGUCUGCAGCAAGGAUCAAGAAUCGCCGACCAGCAGAUGGCUGUCAUCGAGUUUGACGAGUACAAGAAGACAGUCGACCCUGCUGAUUUGAUGCGUUCGAAGAAGCCAGCUUCGGAGUCCGCAUUUCAGUCGGCGGGAGAGACGAAGAAGAUCAACAUCCACCCGACGGACAACACUGCUGCCCCGACGAACAUCUCCACCACCCUCGAUCCUAAAUAGGAAGCCGAGCUCACCCAAUUCCUCCGUGAGAACUGGGACAUCUUCGCAUGAAAACCCUCUGACAUGCCGGGUGUACCCAGGGAGUUGGCUGAGCACCGACUGCAUGUGGAUCCCACCGCUCGGCCCGUCCGAGAACGCCUGCGCCGGUCCGUCGCGCAUAAGAGGAAGGCAAUCGGGGAAGAGGUGGCCAAGCUGUUGGCAGCCAACUUCAUUCGCGAGGUCCACCACUCCGAGUGGCUCGCCAAUGUUGUCAUGGUGCCCAAGAAGGACAAGUCGCUCCGAAUGUGCAUCGACUUCAAGCAUCUCAAUAAGGUCUGCCCGAAAGACUAUUUUUCGCUCCCCCGCAUCGAUCAAAUUGUCGAUUCGACUGCGGGUUGCGAGCGUUUGUCUUUUUUGAUGCCUACUCGGGCUAUCAUCAGAUCCGUCUGUAUGGCCUCGAUGAAUUAAAAACAGCCUUCAUCACCCCAUUCGGGUGCUUCUGCUACAUCACUAUGCUAUUCGGUUUGAAGAAUGCAGGAACUACCUUUAUGCGCAUGAUCCAAAAAUGCCUCCUCGACCAGAUCGGUCGGAAUGUGGAGGCGUAUAUGGAUGAUACCGUAGUCAAGUCACGCAAAGGUUUCGACCUGCUGACUGACUUGGCAGAAACAUUCGCCAACCUUCGUAGGUACGAUAUCAAGCACAACCCCGCCAAGUGUUCAUUCGGCGUUCCCAGCGGAAAGUUACUCGGUUUCUUCGUUUUCGAACGAGGGAUCGAUGUCAACCCCGAAAAAAUCAGGACCAUCGUCCGAAUGGAGAGGCCGGUCAGAAUACACGAUGUUCAACGGCUCACAGGUUGCCUAGCGGCUUUGAGCAGGUUUAUCAGUCGACUCGGCGAGAAAGCACUUCCUCUGUACCGACUCAUUAAGAAAAUCAGAUACGUUCGAGUGGACAGACGAAGCCCAAGUCGCAUUCGACGACCUCAAAGUCCUACUUUCCACCCAGUCGGUUCUUACUGCUCCGCUCAAUAAAGAGCCCUUCUUCUGUAUAUCGCGGCUACAAAUCAAGUCGACAACACUGUUCUUACAGUCGAACGAGAAGAAGAAGACGAAGCAUACAAAGUUCAGCGGCCAGUGUAUUACGUCUCCGAAGUCCUGACUCCUUCCAAGCAGAGGUAUCCCCACUAUCAAAAACUUAUCUACGGGAUUUACAUUACUGCGAAGAAGGUAGCCCAUUAUUUUUAAGACCAUUCGGUGUCUGUUGUUUUUGAUGCCCCGUUAUAGGAAAUCCUCCACAAUCGGGACGCAUCAGGCCGAGUGGCGAAGUGGACAAUGAAGAUGUUGUACUGCGAUAUCAAGUUCGAGGCCAAUAAAGCUAUAAAGUCUCAAGCCCUGCCUGACUUCAUAGCAGAAUGGGUAGAACAAAAGCAACCGACCCACAUCUACUCGGCUUAUUGGACAAUGUUCUUUGAUGGGUCCAAGAUGUUGAAUGGCUCCGGCGCUGGCGUUGUGAUCGUAUCGCCAAAGGGCGACAAACUCAAAUAUGUGCUGCAGAUAAACUUUGAUUCCUCCAACAAUGAGGCAGAGUAUGAAGCUCUCCUUUAUGGACUGCGUAUGGCCAUCGCACUCGGCGUCCGUCGCCUGAUGGUCUUUGGCGAUUCGACUUUGGUGGUUAAUCAAGUGAUGAAAGAGUGGGACGUCAGGAACCCCACCAUGACCACAUACUGCAAUGCAGUGAGGAAGCUCGAGAAGAAGUUUGAAGGUCUAGAACUCCACCAUGUUCCGCGACUGAAGAACCAAGCAGCUGAUGAAUUGGCGAAACUCGGAUCCACUCGGAGACCAGUCCCGAGUGACGUCUGCCUCGAGCACCUCCACCUUCCCUCAGUCAAAGAAGAUCCUUUCACAGAAAAACAAGUACAACCAAAGAGCACGACAGAUCCGACUGAAGUCGACGUACCUGCUGUGGUUGAUCUGAUCAUGAAGAUUAUUGCUGUCAUCUCUGAUUGGACUGUGCCGAUCAUUGCAUAUAUCCUGAGGCAGGAAUUACCAGAAGACGAAGUCCAGGCCAGGCAGAUAGUCCGCAGGUCGAAGUCGUUCACUGUCAUUGAUGGCUAGUUGUACAAGGAAAGCGUUUCAGGCGUUCUUCAACGAUGUAUCUCCCCAGAGGAGGGACAGUUGAUCCUGGAAGAAAUUCACUUGGGAACCUGCGGUCAUCACGCCUCUUCGAGAGCGAUCGUCGCCAAAGCAUUCAGAGCUGGUUUCUUCUGGCUGCAGGCAAACGAAAUGGCUAAAGAUAUGGUCGACCGAUGUGAAGCCUGUUAGUUCUACUCCAACAAGUCCCACAAGCCAACAUCUGCGUUGAAGACAAUCCCUCUUGUGUGGCUGUUUUUAGUAUGGGGAUUAGAUACAGUCGGUUCAUUCAGGACAGGCCAAGGAGGAUACACACAUCUGUUGGUGGCAGUUGACAAGUUCACAAAAUGGAUUGAAGCAAAAGGCCAUCAAGAAGCUCGACGCCCUAACAGCCAUCAAGUUUGUCAGGGAUAUCAUCUCCCGAUUCGGGGUACCUCACAGCAUAAUCACAGACAACGGAACAAACUUUGACUCGGACAGAUUCAAAGGUUUCUGUGCAAGCCAUGGUAUCUGAGUGGAUUUUGCAUUCGUGGCGCAUCCUCAAUCAAACGGACAAGCAGAGCGGACAAAUGGACUUAUUCUGCAAGGUUUGAAGCCCCGACUCCUGCGAGAGAUGGGACAUGCCGCUGGCGUAUGGGUCACCGAGCUACCUUCAGUACUUUGGGGUCUCCGCACAACCCCGAACAGAUCUACAGGGCGAUCACCGUUCUUCCUCGUUUACGGAGCAGAAGCAGUCCUUCCGAGUGACUUGAUUCACAAUGCUCCAUGAGUCGAGCUCUUCUCCGAAGCUGAAUCAGAACAAGCGAGGCAAGACGGAGUGAACCUUCUAGAGGAGGAGCGCGAGAUGGCUCUGACUCGUUCAACCAUUUAUCAACAAGAUCUGCGGCGCUUUCACGCACGCCACGUCAGGAGUCGCACGUUCCAAGCAGACGACCUGGUGCUCCGAGNNNNNNNNNNNNNNNNNNNNNNNNNNNNNNNNNNNNNNNNNNNNNNNNNNNNNNNNNNNNNNNNNNNCAAAUGGACUUAUUCUGCAAGGUUUGAAGCCCCGACUCCUGCGAGAGAUGGGACAUGCCGCUGGCGUAUGGGUCACCGAGCUACCUUCAGUACUUUGGGGUCUCCGCACAACCCCGAACAGAUCUACAGGGCGAUCACCGUUCUUCCUCGUUUACGGAGCAGAAGCAGUCCUUCCGAGUGACUUGAUUCACAAUGCUCCAUGAGUCGAGCUCUUCUCCGAAGCUGAAUCAGAACAAGCGAGGCAAGACGGAGUGAACCUUCUAGAGGAGGAGCGCGAGAUGGCUCUGACUCGUUCAACCAUUUAUCAACAAGAUCUGCGGCGCUUUCACGCACGCCACGUCAGGAGUCGCACGUUCCAAGCAGACGACCUGGUGCUCCGAGUGGAUCAGCAAAGACCUCACAAGUUGGCUCCUGCCUGGGAAGGACCCUUCAUCAUCUCCAAGGUGCUGAACAACGGAGCAUACAGACUCUACAACAUCGACAGGGAGACAGACGAGCCGCGAGCAUGGAACGGAGAUCUCCUGAAACGCUUCUACACGUGACCGUCGACUGAAGCAAUGUAAAGAACAAGUAUUGGUGAAAUAAUAUAAAACAGAUUGAGCUUUUGCAGAUUCAAAAUUCUUUCGCGGUCGCAGACUCCGGUCUCAAAAAAAAAAACUUAGCUGCGAUCCAGAAUCGCCUAAGUACUAACUUUCUCCGAGUAAGUACUAAACGUCGCACUCGGAGAUUUAGCUGCGAUCACGAAUCGCCUAAGUACUAACUUUCUCCGAGUGUGCACUAAACGUCGCACUCAGGGACUUAGCUACGAUCACGAAUCGCCUAAGUACUAACUUUCUCCGAGUGUGCACUUAACGUCGCACUCGAUGACUUAGCUGUGAUCACGAAUCGCCUAAGUACUGACUUUCUCCGAGUAUGCACUAAACGUCGCACUCGGGGACUUAGCUGCGAUCAAGAAUCGCCUAAGUACUCCCCCCCCCCCCCCCUGCACUAAACGUCGCACUCGGGGACUUAGCUGCGAUCAAGAAUCGCCUAAGUACUGACUUUCUCCGAGUGUGCACUAAACGUCGCACUCGGGGACUUAGCUGCGAUCAAGAAUCGCCUAAGCACUAACUUUCUUCGAGUGUGCACUAAACGUCGCACUCAGGGACUUAGCUGCGAUGAAAAAUUGCCUAAGUACUAACUUUCUCCGAGUGUGCACUAAACGUCGCACUCGGGGACUUAGCUGCGAUCAAGAAUCGCCUAAUUACUAAUCUUCUCCGUGUGUGCACUAAACGUCGCACUCGGGGACUUAGCUGCGAUCAAGAAUCGCCUAAGUACUAAAUUUCUCCGAGUGUGCACUAAACGUCGCACUCGGGGACUUAGCUGCGAUCAAGAAUCGCCUAAGUACUGACUUUCUCCGAGUGUGCACUAAACGUCGCACUUGGGGACUUAGCUGCGAUCAAGAAUUGCCUAAGUACUAAUUUUCUCCGUGUGUGCACUAAACGUCGCACUCUGGGACUUAGCUGUGAUCAAGAAUCGCCUAAGUACAAAGCUUCCUGCGACUGUAUCCCACAGAUACACUCGGGGACUCAGCAGGCGCUCAUUGAGGCUCAUGUGGAUUUCAAGACCACUGACAAUUACAUGAGUAGCAGACCCUCAUUGAGGCUCUCAUAUGGAUGUCAAGACCACUGACAAUUACAUGAGUAGCAGACCCUCAUUGAGGCUCAUGUGGAUGUCAAGACCACUGACAAUUACAUGAGUACCAACUCGCUUCGAGUGAGGCCUGUCCGACGCACUCGACGACUUAGCCGCGAUCAUGAAUCGCCUAAGUACUCUAUUGUCUUCGAGUGUACCCUACAGAUCCACUCGGAGACUCAGCAGACCCUCAUUGAGGCUCGCCAAGGUUUCUUACAACCAACACUCGGCAUACCGAGGUAAAAGUUUUCUUACGCGUCGUCCGGAUUGGCGCCAGGACUAGAGGGCUCCACGAAUGUGUCCAGGUCGAUUCCGUCGGCGAUACGGGUGGCACUCUUAAGGAAGGUUUCCAUGAAGUCUUCGAAUCGAAGUUUCUUCGUGUUGGCGACCUUCAACGCUUUCAGCUUCUCUUCGCGCACCUCCUUGCAAUGCACUCGGACCAGGGACAGAGCAACGUCUGCACCACAGCGAGCCGCAUAUUUCUUCCAUGACUGCACUCGGUUUGGGACCUCCUCCAGUCGAGUCAUCAAGCUUUCCAUCUCAUGCCGCGACUCAUCUUCAGGCCAAAGCUCCUUGUCGAUCCGGCCGACGACUUCUCUUAGUCGAUCGAUGAAAGGACCAACUUUGCCCACGCGAAUGUGCGCUCGGAGCAGAUCUCGAUUGGCGUCCUCGCCGAGUGGAAUGUUCUUGCGAAUCGACCGCUCCACGUCAGCUGCUUCAGCUUCAGCGUCCAUGCAAAAAUCUGCAAACACAGGACAAGCAAACAAUAAGCGCCGAGUGUAACGCACAUACCACAAGCACUCGGAAAAACAGGACUUACCAACCAGACGCGUUAUCAUCUGCCGGGCCCAGUCGCUGAUGUAUUUUUCCUGCGCUAUACACCGCUUGUUCAGCACAUUCAUUUGCCCCAUCAGCUCAGACCUAUGCGCCUUCAUCUUCUCAACUUCAGUAGUCAGUGCCUUGUUCGCUUCACGGGCCUGCUCCAACGACUUCUCUCGUUCCUCCAGAACGUCCUUCAUACCAGCCAUUGCAAUCAGUGCCGCAUCCAGCUCACCGGCAAACUGAACCUUUUCAGCCCUAAGAGUCUCGUAUGCUGUCCCCAUCUCACAAGUUUUCUGCCAGCCAGCACCAAUAGACGAUCAGACAAAUCCAACAAUAAAAAGUUUAAGUUCUUCAGACCCCUGCCGACGCAAGCAGUCGACAGCGGUCUCGGGGACUACACCCAGUGGGUUCACUGAGAGUGACCCCACUGGCAUGAAACUCAAACAGGUCCGCCCUAUUGAGAUGCAUGACAACACCUACGCCUACGAGGCUAAUACUACCCGACCUGAGUAAAAUUACUCUUGGGGACUCUUACAGUAGGUGCACUCCGAGUGCCCCAACCGUUAGCAUUUGACCAGAUUAUUUACGGAUCUGACCAAGUCAAAGACAAUAUGCAUAAAGACAACUGCCGGUGCAAGCACUCGACAGAAGUCUCGGGGACUACACCCACUGGGUUCACUCAGAGUGAACCCAUUGCAAACAUCAUACGGUAUCCGAGCACACCCAGUGGGUUACAAGAGAAAAGUAAAUACUUACUAGCCCACUUACUCGGAUAUCGUCCCGCAGCUCCAAGCUCCGCUGGUACAGGGAUGCGAUGGAGUCAUACGCUUUCUUGUCUUCUCCCGCCAUCAGCUCCGCCUGCACCAUGACCCCCUUGGCCGCUCCCACCUGAUCCUCCGGCAGGCGCUGGACGUUGAACUCGACAUUUGACGGGCCUGACAUCGUUGGAAGCUCUUUGGGCAUCCCAAGGCCCGCUCCAGUCGGUUCAGCAGCAACCAGCACCGUUUCAGUCGGCGGCAUCGCCUCAGUCGGCGGCACGUCCGCGGCGAGAGCAGUAACUGGCGGAACAGCCUCAAGGACAGGCACCACAGCUUGCUCAGGUCUCCCCUGGUCACCCUCAUCCACAUAAAUCACCCUUGUCAGAUCGAACGGCGUGAGAUCUCAGAAAAAGGAAGGGGCAAGACCGAAGACAGAAUUCGCGAUGCGAUAAUGUAAAACUCUCGGAAUCGCUACAACGCACCUGGCUGGGACGAAACUACGUUGUCCGUGUCCAUGGGGUCAUCCCCCUGGCCUGCCGGAGAGGUGGCAGAGGUAGCAACUCUGUCGAGUGAAAUUCAUUCGACCAAUAAAUAGGAGUCCAAUCGAAUAUCAGAAGAAGUUAGAAGAACAAUAUACUUACGUCGAGGUGACGGGAACGGUGACCCUCAUCCGCGGCAAAGCCUUCCGAGGUUUAGAUCCGCUCGGUUUGGCCACCUUGGAAGGCUGACCCGCAAGUUCGGUAGCAGCGUCCCUGGUCCUCUUGGUGCUCCGGGCACCCGGACCCCCGGGAACAGUUGACGGGGCACUCGGAACCGCAGGAGCAGUUGACGGAGCACUCGAGGAUGCUGGAAGGGCCGAGAGAGCUGCAGGUUCAUGUCGGCGCUUGGUUCGAUGCUCUGACGGCGGGGGUGGCGAGUCCUGCUCUUCGUCUUCCCCCUCCUUUUUACUAGACUCUUCCUUCGUUUCCCCACUGUCGGAGACGUACUCGACGCUCUCCACGCUGCCCUCCUGGCUGCCCUCCUCCUCGGCCGGGUUCCCGUUCGAGACAGGGGAAAACCAGUUGGUCUACUUCUGCAUAAAAUACAGUCGGCGACAUCAGGCGUCAGACAGAGAUUCAAGAAAGCGAUUAAACUAAGACAAUUACGUGCACUCGACAAGUGGUACUCACCGCGUUCGGAGGAGGGUUGUCCGCGCAGAAAGCCCUCACUCGCCGGGACCCUCUGGGGUUCUCGCAGGCGCCUGUGAUCUGGAGCACCCACGACGCCACCUUCUCCUCGGUCACUCCCAAGACGUUGGUCCGAGUGGAGUCUUCGGGCCCCGUGUAGUGCCACAUGGCGUGGUCGCGAGCCUGCAGUGGUUGGAUGCGCCGACCGAGGAAAACCUCCAGCAAAUCUAUGCCGGUGACUCCCCUUCUGACGACAUCUACGAGUGCGUCGACCAGAGGCUGGAUGUCGAUCUUCUCCGCCUUCGUGAGCGCAAGCUGCUUGGGGGGAGCGGGUCGAUCUAAGCUAAAAGGAGGCAACCCUGUCGUGGCAUUCGGAUAGGCAACGUCCUGGCAGUAGAACCAUGUCGACUGCCAGUUCCUAACUGACUCACUCAGCUGAAGAGCAGGAUAACUACUUCUACUCUUCUUCUAAAAACCUAAGCCUCCGCAGAGCUGGAGAAGGUGUGUCUUAUCAUCCGACUGGUGAAGUCGUUUGAUGGUUUGGGAUCUAGCAGAGAAAAUAUGUUUGAAAAGCCCCCAAUGGGGGGGACAGCCGAUGAAGCACUCACACAGGACUAUGAAAGCAGAGAGAUAAGCUAUAGCAUUCGGGGGAAAGUGGUGAAGCUGCGCCCCGAAGUGGUUCAUUAUGCCUUUGAAGAAAGGAUGCGGGGGCAGAGAGAAACCUCGAUAUACGUGGCUGAGCAGCAGGACGCGCUCCCCCUCCCGGGGCGCCGGCUCGAUCUCAUUCUCCAUCGGCAACCUCCACGACUUGUGCACGAUCAUCCCGUGCUCCACCAGCUCCAGCAGAUCCCCCUCCGUCACCGUGGAGGGGAGGAAGUCCCCCUGGAUCCACCCCGCCGGUAACGCUCGCUGCCGCCGCUGAGCAGGAGCCGCCGCCUUCCCCUUCUUCUUCUUCGCCUCCAGCUUGCUAGUCUGUCCCUUGGUCAUGGCGGAAGCUGCGGGUCCGCGGAGGAGAAGGAAAGGGAAGGAGCUUGGGUGCGCAGGAGGAGGCGAGAGGAGCGGAGCAAUCAAAGGCAAGAGAUCCGGCGAGCGUAACGAGAAAACCCUCGCCGCCGAGGUUUAAGUAAGGUUCCGACUGCGUCACUGUCAGGUGGCCCCGAAACCUUAUCCCCCGACCAACCGCGGCGAUAUCAGUGGAGAAGAUGAAGGCGCGAGAAUCGAGGCGUCAGGCGCUACUCGAGCGUGCGGUAACCGAAAUUUGAGGAUCUCGGAAAAUCCGCCGCUGUCAGUUGAUUGGUCACGUCAGGAGAUACCCUGGAAGCACUCGGUUUCCGACAGUUCGUUCCACAAAUACUUCCGCUCGGAUCGUUGGUCAGAAAAGAUAAAAUGGAUCGAGGCAAGCAACGCCAAAGCCACAUCCGUUCCAGUCGGAUCCAAACUUCAAGCAUCGCUUCGUCGUUCCAACCCCAAUCCAUUCAGGGACUAAUGAUGGGGUCAUAGUCCUAGGGUAGGGUCAUAGGCCUGCCCUGUAGGUCCAACCCAAGGACUACCCCUCAUAAGGGACAAGGCCCUUAGUCAGUUCCGACUGAACUAAGGAGUUCCCUUCAUCCAGUCGGUAACAGAUCCUCGACCAUCCAGUCGGAGAUUAGCAUUCGGAGUUUAUCAAACUAACCGACUGGAUUCCACUCUGUGCAUCGUAACCCCCCUGGAGGGAAACGGUCAUACGUUUCCAUGUGCCUUUAUUAGCAUUUAGGACGUACGUUACCUGUAACGUAGGCAUUUAUUCGCCACUACUCCACCCCUGUGCACCGAACCGUUGUGGAGGGCAGCGCACUCUAUAUAAGCCACCCUCCCCCACUGGUGCAGGGGUUAGCAACUUAUUGUAUUCCAUAUUCCACUCGACAACAAGCUCCCAGAGCACUGAGACGUAGGACUAUUACCUCCGCCGCAGAGGGCUUGAACUCAUACAACCUCGCCGUAGCUAAGGCUCUGCCCAUCCUUUCGUACCCUACACAUCUACUGUCAGGCUUAUAUCCACGACAAGGAGAAUUGCCAAGUUUUUGCAAGUAACGCAGCAGGGCGCGCUCGUAGGGUCGCCUGUGGGUGUUAUGCGAGGAGACAAGAGCACCAAGGACUUGGCGAGGUGACGUACACGGGAGCAGGCCCGCGAGCCAGAGCUUAGUCGCUUGGAUUUUACACUUCUGGUGGGGACUGACCCGAGCACAGGCACCGUGCCCAGCCCCCGCUCGCGUGACAAACACGGGGAAGAUCACGAGUAUGCGCCCCUCCCAAGGCAUACUCACCUGCAAGCACACAGGGGAUGUGAGGUCCGAGGGCCCCUCAGUUAAGUAGGCCGCCAACGCUGAGCAUGGGGCUGCCAGGAGAGUCGGAAGGAGCUCUCACGUGCUGGAGCUGGAGGCAGCGCUGGUAGAGAGAGCCCCGGAGCAUGUACAAAUCCAUGCCGAGGAUGUGACGGCCGAGCGCCAGCGCUGAGCAUGGGUCUUUCACAAGAGUGGGAAGGAGCUCUCAUGUGCCGGAGGCAGCGCGGGUAGAUAGAGCCCAGGAACGUGUACAACUCCAUGCCAAGGAUGUGAGGGCCGAGGGCCCCUCAGGUAAGUAGGCCGCCAACGCUGAGCAUGGGGCUUCCAGGAGAGUGGGAAGGAGCUCUCACGUGCUGAAGGCAGUGAAGGCAGCGCUGGUAGAGAGAGCUCCGGAGCGUGUACAACUCCAUGUUGAGGAUGUGACGGCCGAGGGCCCCUCAGGUAAGUAGGCUUCUCGAGGAUCACGCGCGCGUCCGUGGGCGCGGACGAUCUGGCGGUUGUUGCCGUCGCCGGCCGGCGUGGACGACCCGUGGGAUGGCUCCAGGGCGUGUGCCACAGGGCGCCGUUCGACCGCGUCGGGCCCGGAGAAAGAGGAGGAGCAUCGCGCUCAGCCUCGUCGGCGCGCGACGGCGGUGCAGGCAGGGAGCGGAAGGGCGCCCGACCGUCGCGCGCAGCGUCGACGAGCUCGGUGAUGUGCCCGAGCCAGGCGUUGUAGCCGUCCUCGGUGGGACGGUAGCACAGCAACUCCUGUGCCAUGAGCAAUGCGGAGCGGGAGGGUCGCGACGCGCAUGCGAGGAGGCGUGGCGGAGCGGCCACACGCCUCCUCGUUUAUCGACGGGUGAACACCGGGGCACCUCGGGCGGCGGGCGCGCAGCACGUUCCCGGUGAGUGGCGGCGUCGUCCAUGUCGAUGUUGACGUUGAGGUCGAAGGCACGAAGGCGACAAGUCCCCCUACCUGGUGCGCCAAAUGUCGGAGUGUGGGAUCUGCGUCCAAGAAACUCUUUCAAGAACUAGGGUUCGAACACUGGGGGGCUUUCCUUGGCAACCGAAGACCCCACGACAACUACGGCGAGGCCACGACGAGCGUGCUCACUCACACUAGACACGACGGGGACGCGCGAGCUACCCAGGAUCGGGCCACCGUUCGGUGUAAUACCCUACUCCUGCCUGUGUUGGAUUGCUAUGUAAUGGGGAGCUUGUGGCUCGAGGUACAUGAGGAGUGAGGGAGAAUGAUUAGAUCCCCUUACAUGGACGCGGCCCUGCCCCCUUUGUUGUGCCUUGGUCCUCUUCCUUAAAAAUAUGAGCAAGAAAGGAUGGCCAUAGAGCGGCUAUUCUAAAUUGGACAGGCGCCCAGGUCUAUCCUGACUAAAGGCGGUCUCCGCCCGAUAAAUCAGUCAUGUUGACGCGUCGGUGGGCUCGGCGAUGACCUCCGUCCUGACCCGCCGAUCCAUCCCGAUCUCCUUGCACCAAAGAGGAAACCUUUAGGACUUGCUUUGGGGGAGGCAGCAGCCGCUGCUCCCUUAUCACUAGAAUGGAAACUAGCUUCGGUCAUGCCCUGCCGUCCUCAUCCUAACAGCAGGACGUCAUCCAUGUAGUGGGCGCGGAGCCCACAGCUGGCGCCGUACGUCAUGCUUUGUGAGGCGGCCUCGCAAGGGGAGCUUCGCGAGGCGAUCUGGUUGAUGGCCUCGGCAGGGCUUGGUCCGGCGGCGAGGGGCCUCGCGAGGCGGCUUCCUCCGGAGCGGCCGUGCCCAAGCCAUCCUCUGCGGGCCGGCCCAAGUGUCCCCUCCUGGGCUGGAAGCAGACGGGCCGUGGUACCCCAGCUUUUACUGGGCCGACAAGCUCAAAACUCUGUUUGCGUUCCAUUUGCUCUUGAACUCGUUAUCCUAGCUUUUUGGGCAAUAUGGACCCCUAGGAAUGAUUGCAUCUUCAAUGGUUUCAGCCCCAACCGUUACAGAUGCAGCAAAAAAUUCAAAGAGGCGCUCAAGUGGAUUCUGCUGAGAGCUCAAAGGCAAUCCUACGACAAUUUUGAACCUUAGGUCCACUCUUUUAUAUAGUGCUGCCUCAGGUUCAGUUGUGGCUGUUGUAUGGCUCUUUAUUUUCAGCCUUCUUUUCUUUUUUAUAGGAUUCUUUCUUCUUAUAGCUUUAGCUUUUGUCUUGGGCUUGUUUUGCUUGUUUCUGUUACUCUUGUACUCCCUCCGUAAAUGUAUAUAAGAGCGUUUAGAGCACUACUACUUUACAUAGAGAGUACUAUUUAAUUUAUUUGAAAAUUAAUAAAAACAGACCGCACAUUACAUACAUGAUCCAGUGAUGGAUAUCAUAUCUGCUCGCUCAUUGUUUGCAACCCAACACUAAAAUUAUUGACAUGUAGCACAUGUCAGGGACGUUACUGAUGCUAAGAGUUUCUAACACGCCCAUGCAUUUUUCCCCACAGAUGUGUCGCAGCAGGUCCAGGACAGCCUCCAGAACAUGCUGAAGAUGACCGGCGAGAUCGAGCAGUGCAGUGACGAGAUCGAGACGGAGAUCGAGCAGGCCAAGGAGGGCGUGGCUGACAAGUACAGGGUGCUCGAUGAGGAGAAGGAAAGGUUUCAGAAGGUGGCCCUUGCAGCGCUCAACAUCCUGAGCGGCGGCAUCUGAAGCCUGCACCACCUUAUGUCAACAAAGACAAUCCUGAACUGCCCCGCUUUGUAGAUCACCGUUCAUGUGCAAUCCCAGCAAUGAGCCGCCAGUUGUAUUCCUUCAUUUGUGACUGUUGCCAAUUGUCAGGUCGUCACCAGUGUUAGCCACCAUUCUUUUGCUUGGCCUGUCAGCCACUCGGACCAAAGCGUGGUGGCAGUGGCAGUGGUACUAGUUUGUACAGGAUGGCUCUUUCAGUGAACCAGAGCAUAGCCGUAUAGUCGGUGGUUGUGCGUUCUUGAUUCUCAUCGAUGGUUUGAUAAUACGAAAUUACUGUUAAUUCAGAGAGAUUGUGCUGUUACAGACAGGAGAGCAGAGAAGCUAUACAUUCAAAGAGAUUAUGCCAGACAUGGUUUUAUA
rnacentral:lncRNA from 1 species